rnacentral:lncRNA from 1 species
AUGCUUUCAGUCAUUAACAAUAGAAGGUUGUCCUGAAUUGAUAUUCCCAAUACAAGGUCUGCAAGGACUGUCCUCUCUUACCUCUCUCAAAAUCUCAGAUCUUCCAAAUCUCAUGUCCCUUGACAGUUUGGAGCUUCAACUGCUCACCUCACUUGAAAAAUUAGAGAUCUGUGGCUGCCCCAAGCUCCAAUUCUUGACAGAAGGGCAGCUGCCCACCAACCUUUCUGUUCUAACAAUUCAGAACUGCCCAUUUCUGAAAGAUCGGUGCAAGUUUUGGACAGGGGAAGAUUGGCAUCAUAUAGCUCACAUUCCACACAUUGCGAUCGAUGACCAAGUUUUGUAAUGAAGAUGGCAUUACACCAAUUUAUAGUCAGGUACUUGUUCUGUCCUAAAAAUGAUUGUCUCUGGAAAACUAACAUACUUAAUACCAAGUUUGAUUUGAUCCAUUAUAAAUAGGAAAAAUAUGCUUUAAAUUUUCUAAUUAUUAUAACAAUUUCUUGCUUUCUUUCAGGUCAUCUGUGAUGCUUCACUCUGGCUCUGAUCAACAUAUCUUCAUAAGGAAUCUUUUAAGACUCCCUUGCUUAAUUAGUGCCUUGUCAAAUGCUUCAGGUUUCAUUUAGAGUGAAUUGAUGCUUAAAAGCCAAGCAGCUCUGCAGGUCUGAUUUUGUAAAUUGUGUUUCUUGUACAAUUUUAUGGACCUUGAAUUUGUUUUCAUUGGCUAAUUUGCUGAAAUCUGAUGGCAGGCCUUUGAUCCUUGUUCUCUCAACAAACUCUAGCUGUCUAGCAAUGAUUUCCAACGGGACCAUCUUUUUGUUGUGAGUUCAGGUUCAUGACUCUCUUUUUGGACAACAGUAGCCGAGAUUUUUUGCACCCAAAGAAUCAUGAGUUGAUACUCUGCUGGAGGAACUACAGAAGCUCAACUCUGUUGGAGAGUGGAGGAUGCAGCAGGCUCUAUGAUUCCAGUUAGUGAGACAUUUCGAUUGCUUUGGUUUAACUUUCUAAGCUACAAACUACAAUACUCAUAAUCUCAUAUGCAUUAUUUUUCAGGUUCUUUGAGGUUGCAUCAGCGUUGAUAUCUUAGUUCUUCUCUAAAAACAACAGGUAUGUUUCUUUUAAUUCAUACUUUUCAUAAGCUGACACAUUGUGGAGUUCCAUCAUUUUCAACACGAGAUAAACCUAAUACUAAAUUCUACUGAAGCUAAAACAAAAAUCUUACUGCCUGAGGUUCUGUCUUUCAUGAAUUUUAUUCACUAUGUUCAUAUGGCAUCUAAGCAACCUAGACGUUAACAUUUUCCUUGGUCUACAUAUUGUUUUCAUCUCUUUCAGCUUUGAUUAAUCUGCAGACAUUCGGUUUAGGCACCUCAAACUCAAAAUCUUCAGCUUCUGUCAUGCCAUCUCCUUCUCAUUUCAUGAUUGUCAUCCACCUUUGAGCUUUACUUUGUUAAUGGUAAGAUAGUCAUAAUAGUACUACAAUAGUUGAGCAUGGAUUGACAACAAUGAAUGCUUUCAGUCUUCAACAUCACAUGGUUGUCCUGAAUUGAUAUUCCCAAUGCAGGGUCUUCCCUCCAACCUAAAUUCACUUACAAUAACAAACUGCAACAAACUUACAUCCCACAUGGACUGUGGCCUGCAAGGGCUGGCCUCUCUUACCUCUCUCAAAAUCUCAGGUCUUCCAAAUCUCAGGUCCCUGGACAGUUUGGGGCUUCAACUGCUCACCUCUCUCCAAAAAUUAGAGAUCCGUGACUGCCCCAAGCUCUAAUCCUUGACAGAAAUGCUGCUGCCCACCUCCUUUCUGUUCCAACAAUCCAGAACUGCCCAUUGCUGAAAGGUCAGUGCAAGUUUUGGACAAGGGAAGAUUGGCAUCAUAUAGCACACAUUCCAAACAUUGUGAUCGAUGACCAAGUUUUGUAAUGAAGGUAGCAUUACACUAAUUUUUAGUCAAGUACUUGUUCUGUCCUUAUAGUAAUUUUCUCAGGAAAACUGAUAUGCUUAAAUACCAAUUUUAAUUUGAUCCAUCAUAAAUGGGAAAAAAUAUGCUUUAAAUUUUCUAAUUAUUAUAAUAACUUCUUGCUUCUUUCAGGUUAUCAGUAAUUCUUCUCUCUUGUAAAUUGAUGCUUAAAAGCCAAGCAGCUCUGCAGGUCUGAUUUUGUAACUUGUUUUUCUUGUAUAAUUUUAUGGACCUUGAAUUCGUUUUCAUUGGCUAAUUCACUGAAACUCAUGGAAUGCCUCUGAUCCUAUUUUUUUCAAUAAAUUCGAGCUGUCUAGCAACAAUCCUUCCAAUGGGACCUUUUUUUAUCGAGUUCAAAGACUCUUUCUGGAAGAUUGUAGCAGAUAUUUUCUAGCAUCCAUAGACUCAUGAUUGAUAAUCUGCUUGAGGAACUGAGAAAGCUCAACUCUGUUAGAGAGUGGAGCAUGCAACAUGCUCUGUGAUUCCCAUUAGUCAGAUAUUUUAAUUGCUUUUGUUUAACUUUCUAAGCUACAAAUUACAAGGAUUUAUAAUUCCAUGUGCAUUAUUUUUCAGGUUCUCUGUGUUAAUAUUCUAGUUCUUCUCUAGAAAAAACAGGUAUGUUUCUUCUGUGUUAAUACUUUUCAUAAGAUGACACAUUGUGGAGUUCCAUCAUAUGCAUGACAAGAUAAACCCAAUUCUAAAAUCAACUCAGCCGAAAACACAUUGUGGAGUUCCAUAUGGCAUCUUAGCGCCGUAAAUGUUAACAUUUUCCUUAGUGUAAUCAUUGUUUUAGCUUCAAUUAAUCUGCAGAUGUUCAGUUUAGACAUCUCAAACACAAAAGCUUCAGCUUCUGACAGGCCACCACUUCCUAGUCUCUGCUCAUCUCCUUCCCAUUUAACUAUUGUCAUCAACCUUCGAUUUUUUUACAUCGUUGAUGGUAAAAGAAUCAUAAUUGUACUACAUUUGUUGAGCAUGGAUGCUACCAUUUAAUUUCCAUAUUCAAGCUUUUCUUGUACUUACAAAUGAUAAUGUGAGCUCUGGAUUUUCUUCUUUUAAAUUUGUGAUUCUGAGGCAGAUGCUUGGAGAAGAGAGAAGUCAAACCAUAUUCAAAGUCAUUGCAGUGCAGAGUAUGGUUUUGUUCCACCAAGUUCAGGUCAGUUGAGUGGAAUCUUAUUAAUACUUCAAGGACGCAUGAUCAAAUUGGCUGAUUUUCCAAACUUGAUGAGUGCCUCUAACCAUGAACGAACUAUUUUUUUUACCAGCUUUGUGUUAAGAAAUUGUGAUCGUGUUGGAUCUACUCAUACCACCUCCCUCCAUGAUGAAUUUUAACUACUCAAUACUUGGAGGAUGGCUACUCAACUGAAUUCUAUUUAUUGGAGCACGAUUUGAGCUUUUCUUCCUUACUCAGGUAUAGUGCUAUAAAAUUUUCAGUCUGAAGAGUAUUUAUAACCCCCUACGAAUUUUAAUGUCAGAUUCAGCUGAUUGGCAUGUGACCGUAUUUUUUUUCAGAUGGUAGCAUUUUGAAUCUUUGGAACAAUUGCAGGAGGAAGCUUUGCCAAAGCCUCCCUAUGCAAUACAUGGGCCUUUGGUUGCAAGUGAGAUUUGAGGAUUCUAUUUUCUCUUGGAAGACUUCAACUCAUUUUUUUUGAGUUUUGAGCUUUGCGCUUUUACUUCCAAGCAUAUGCAAAGAAGAAAGAAAGCAACAACAAAGGUCCAGUUAUAGAAGUUUUAUACGGAGUGAGACUCCCAUGAAAAAUAUUGUAGCUAUUGGUUUGUCAACCUUGAAGGAUAUAGUUUUGUUUCCCAUUGGAUCUCUGACGAAUGUGUUUGUUGAAUCAUACAUUUUGAACUUACUAUUGAUUUUGUGUAUAUACAUAAAUAUAAAUGAUGUUUUCUUCUUCCAAAUACUGCACAUGACAAGUCAGAACAAGAAACAUUUUAGAAAAAGUAGGAAACUGACAUUAGCAUUAAUCAUGAGGCCUCUAAUGGUGACCAAGAAAAUGGCAAUUGCAAAUGACUCACCAUCAAAAUGGCAAAAGAAUUAGCAACUACUAUGUCCCCAUCCACUAGUGCCGGCACAAAAUUGAGAGGAUUCAGCUUUGAAAACUCUAAAAUUCGAAAAUUGUAAAAAUAUUAAGAAGCUACUUGAAAAACAACAGAAUGAUCAAGGUAAGUCCAGUACUCAUAAAUUUUGCAUAUGUUUAAAGACAAAUUGGAAAGCUGAGAAUAUAACGGAAUUAAGCAAUGAAUAAGAACCCCCAAAUAUAUUCCUUUCACAGAAAAAAUCAGUGGAACGGGAUGAUCCCAACAAAACUAAGAAUUAUAUUAAAUCCAUGUUUAUCUCCUAGAAAUACAGGGAAAAAAAACAAUAAAAAGAAAUCAGAAGUUCUGAUGAUGCGUAUCAAGAAGAGUCUAACUGCCUUGUACCAAGUUCACUGCCUUGUACUCGUUUUUCAGCCCUGUUCAAAGUUGAAGCACAAAAGACCCAGAUAGAAUAACCAAAAAUUGAUUUAAUGAAAAGAAAAAGAAAAUUAGGGUUUGGAGUAAAGAAGGAAAGAAGGAAAAAGAAUGGAACGUUUCAAGUUGAGGGCUAUUCGAACACGACAGGAGCAGGAACUCCGCCAAUAUGAAUACAGCUUCAGCUGAGUAUCCUCCUAUCCCCAUAUCCCCCAUAGUCCCCAUACAACAUAAACAUAUCAGAAUUCAGAAAUAUAUAAAAAGAAUUAUGAUGGAGAAGACCCACUCACCAUAGUUGCAGUUUGAUGGAAAAACACUGAACACUGCCCACUGCCCACUGCCCACUGCCAUCUCCUUUACCUCCCCAAACAAUAUUAAUAUGGAGAAUUAUAAUUUAGGUUACAAAUAAUAAUUUUUCUAUAUUUUAAUAUUUUUUUUAAAGAUGAUGAGAUAACAUCCGUAAAGACGUUAUAUUUUUAUGUUUUUAAAAGGUAGAAUUCAUCUUUUUAGAAUAUUUUUUUAAUUAAAUAACCCUUUUAAAAUAUCAAAUAAUUUGGUAUACAUUUUCUCCUACAAUUUAUAAAUUUACUUAAUAUAAAAAUAUUUUACUACUAAGACUAUAAAAAUUUUCAAAAUUUUCUUUUCUUUAUAUUCUUCUUAUUUUCCAUAAUUAUUUUUCUUUCAUUAUUAUUAUUCACUUUAUUAUUUUUACAAAUAAAAAAAAUGAAAGGAUAAAUAAUAAUUAAAAAAAUAAAAUAAAAUAAUAACAUUUUUAUCUUUUUUUCUCAUUUAUUGAUUUAUAGUUUUUUUUUCUAAUAUUUUAUCUCAAUUACAACACAUUUUAUAAAGCAUAUUCUCCUAAAUUAAUAAGGAAGAAGAUGACAAAAAUGCAAGAAAAAAAAAAAAAAAAUAUUUCUUCGCAUCUUCCUAUGUCAUCAACUUCCAUGCUCAUUUUAGUUUUAUUGCCACGUGGGGCCCUAAGUGGUAAGAGUAGACACAUUGAUUUAUUAUUAUAAGGGAAAGUUAGGUUUUAGACUAUCAAUAUCAAAAUAAUAACAUAUUCAAAACCUAUGUUGCUAAUUUCAAGUUUAAAAUGCUAAUCUCAAAAAUAUUUUAUAUUUCAUGCACUUUGAAUUGAGCUAUUUUUUAAUACUCAACAUACCUUCUCUUUCUGUCAAGUCAACCUCCACAAGUUUUAAAAAAACAAAAGACCAAAAAUAAAAAACAACUUUAUAGCAAAAUCUUUGUUCUUCGUUGUUUUAUUUCUGCGUAAACCCUCAAAUCACUUUUCCUUCUUUUGCAUUUUGGUGUAUACAAGAGUUUACAUCUUACGCAAAUAACUUCCAAUCUAGCCUCUUUUAAAAUUUUUGGUUCCUUUUAUUUUAUAUAGUUUAAAUUGAUGUUGAAAACCCUUUAUAAAAAAUAAUUAAACAUAUCUUAAAUUUAUUCUUAAAAAUAACUACAAACCAAUUUUCAAAAUUCUUUUUUUUUUCCUUUAUCAAAAGCUUACCUGUUUCAAAAUCGCAUUAAUUUUGUCCUAGCCAAAUUUUUAUUUAUUUAUUUUCCUGUUGUAAACUAUCAUUUUGGUGGCUGCAGGGACUGUCUCCUAGUUCUGCCACUUGAUCUCUCCGGCCAAACUGCUGUUAAUUAAUCAGCAUGUCUCCGUCCUCUUUGUGGAACUUUUUCUUUUCUACUGUGGAACUUUUUCUUUUCUACCCUAAACUAAAAUUGCACUACCUCUAAAUUAUUAUUAUUAUUAUUAUUAUUAUUAUUAUUAUUAUUAUUAUUAUUAUUAUUAUUGUUGUUGUUGUUGUUGUUGUUGUUGUUGUUGUUGUUGUUGUUGUUGUUGUUGUUGUUUAAUAUGAUUGGAUUUUGGAUUUUUUGAAUAAUUUAUUUGAGUAGAGGCUCAAAACGGAUUUUCCACAAGGUGGGUUCAGCUGUUGGUUUGGGUGUGGUCACUGCAACAGAAUGGGUGUGAGCUCCUCCCCAAAACCCCCCUCACAUGACAUCUCUCUUUCAGCUGUUGGUUUGGGUGUGGUCACUGCAACAGAAUGGGUGUGAGCUCCUCCCCAAAACCCCCCUCACAUGACAUCUCUCUUUCCUCCUUUUUCCCUCUAUUCCCAAAACCCAAUGCCCGCCUUUCUCAGAGGGCUUUUUUUAACUUCUUCGGUUAGUUUUUUUUUUAAAAAGAAAAAUCUUAAAAAUUAUAAUUUUAAAAUUAUUAAUAAACUUAUGAUACUUUUUACCACGUUGAAAUAUAUGUUUAAUAAAAAACAUUUUUUAUAUUUUUCAUAUCAAUGAUAUGUGUUAAAAAAAAUUGAAUUUAGACUAAAAGUAUCUCUUCAAGAGACCUUCCAUAAUUUCAUAAAACUGAAUUUAUGUUACAAGCAUUUCUUCAAGAGACAUUUUUUUUAUAAUUUUUUUUAUUAUUCAUACAUGUUAAGCAAAUUGAAUUUAUAUUAAAGAUGUCUCUUUAAGAGACACCUUUAAUGUAAAUUUAUUUAUUUUUAUCGUGUGUUAUUGAUAUGAAAAUUGUUGAAGUAUUUCUUUAAGAGAUAUUUUUUAAUGUGAUGAAAAGUGUGAUAAAUUUAAAAAUAUUUUCCAAUGUACUGUUGAGAUAUUAUGAAUGUUUUCCUUAUAUCAUUCUUUCCUUAUAUCAUUUAGUGUUGAGAUAUUAGGAAUGUUUAGAUAUUAGGAAAGUUGAGAUAUUAUGAAUAUUGAGAUACUAGGAAUAUUGAGAUAUUAGGAUAUUAGUUGUUAUUUCCUUAUAUCAUUCUUUCCUUGUAUCAUUCUUUCCCAUUCUUAGAAUGGUGAUUACCCUCUAUAUAUACUCUGUACAUGAACGAAUGAAAGUAUGAAUGAAAAAACUACCAUUUAUCAAUUUGAAGAUGGUAUCAGAGCCAUGGAACUGAAAUCCUGGAUAUUUUGUUGCUAUGGUAGUCCGACAGCGAUCAACCAUCCUAAGACAAACCCUAAUAUUGAUAAGUCAACCUUCAAAUGCACUCACUUCAAUAAGACUGGUCCCACCAGUCUGGAUAUCCCACAAUUUCAAAGCAACGACUCUUGGUAUGACUAGGAAAACAAUAAGGAACCGAGGGUUUGAACCAUGGACCUUUAGAUCAUGUUUAGGCUAUCAACACUUUGUUAUUAAUUAUAAUAAUCGUGAUCAACGGAAGAAGGAUCCCAAAAAAACCUCGACUACAACUAUUGUCGAAAUAAAAAUAGAGGCUAAUGUUGCUGAUAAAGCCUUUGCAUUGGUAGUCGCUACUAAUCAUGGUGGUAAGUUUUUAAAUACUUUUACAUCUGUUAUUAAUAGUGCAUGGAUAAUUGAUUUUUGGUGCUACAGAUCAUAUGACUUUUGAUUCUAGACAGGUUUCACCCCUUAGACCUUCCUCACAAAAAAUUGUUUCCACAGCCAAUGGUAUCACAACCCCAAUCAUUGGGGAAGGAUCCUUAACUCUUACUGAUACUUUGAAUUUGGAUUCUGUUUUAGUUGUUCCAUCUUUAGAUUACAAUCUUUUGUCAGUUUCUCAAAUCACUACAGCCUUAUCUUGUAUUGUCAUUUUUUGGUCUGAAUUUUGUUUGAUUAAGGACAUCCAAACAAGACAGACGAUUGGUUGUGGUAUUAAACGAGGAAAACUCUAUUACUUGGACUUGCAAUCAAAGGAUUCAAAUAAGUUGCAACAAGCCUUGAUGGCAGAUGGAUUUGAGGGGGAGAAGAAAAAGUCUGAAAUUUGGUUGUGGCAUCGACGUCUGGGACAUGCUUCCUUUGGUUAUUUAAAAAAAUUGUUUCCUAGUUUGUUUGCAAAGAGUGAUAUUUCUGGUUUCCGUUGUGAUAUUUGUGAAUUGGCUAAAAGCCAUCGUGCUUCGUUUCCGUUAAUUUUGAAUAAAAGUCCGUUUCCUUUUAUGGUUAUACAUUCUGAUGUUUGGGGCCCAUCCAAAGUCCCAACUUUGAGUGGCUCACGUUGGUUUGUUACUUUUAUUGAUGAUUGUACCAGAAUGACAUGGUCAUGCUUGAUGAAGACCAAAGAUGAAGUGAACUUGUUGUUUCANNNNNNNNNNNNNNNNNNNNNNNNNNNNNNNNNNNNNNNNNNNNNNNNNNNNNNNNNNNNNNNNNNNNNNNNNNNNNNNNNNNNNNNNNNNNNNNNNNNNGAUCAUAUGACUUUGAUUCUAGACAGGUUUCACCCUUAGACCUUCCUCACAAAAAAUUGUUUCCACAGCCAAUGGUAACACAACCCCAGUCAUUGGGGAAGGAUCCUUAACUCUUAUUGAUACUUUGAAUUUGGAUUCUGUUUUAGUUGUUCCAUCUUUAGAUUACAAUCUUUUGUCAGUUUCUCAAAUCACUACAGCCUUAUCUUGUAUUGUCAUUUUUUGGCUUGAAUUUUGUGUGAUUAAGGACAUCCAAACAAGACAGACAAUUGGUUGUGGUAUUAAACGAGGAAAACUCUAUUACUUGGACUUGCAAUCAAAGGAUUCAAAUAAGUUGCAACAAGCCUUGAGGGCAGAUGGAUUUGAGGGGGAGAAGAAAAAGUCUAAAAUUUGGUUGUGGCAUCGACGUCUGGGACAUGCUUCCUUUGGUUAUUUAAAAAAAUUGUUUCCUAGUUUGUUUGCAAAGAGUGAUAUUUCUGGUUUCCGUUGUGAUAUUUGUGAAUUGGCUAAAAGCCAUCGUGCUUCGUUUCCGUUAAUUUUGAAUAAAAGUCCGUUUCCUUUUAUGGUUAUACAUUCUGAUGUUUGGGGCCCAUCCAAAGUCCCAACUUUGAGUGGCUCACGUUGGUUUGUUACUUUUAUUGAUGAUUGUACCAGAAUGACAUGGUCAUGCUUGAUGAAGACCAAAGAUGAAGUGAACUUGUUGUUUCAAAAAUUUCAUAAAAUGAUUGAAACUCAGUACAAUGCAAAGGUUUGGGUUCUACGUAGUGAUAAUGGUGGAGAAUAUCAAAGUUAUGAUCUUCAAAAGUAUUUGGAAGGACAUGUCAUCAUUCAUCAGACUACUUGUUCCAAUACACCCUAGCAAAAUGGAGUCGCUGAACGAAAAAAUCGACACUUGUUAGAGGUUGUUCGUGCUUCCUUGAUAGCAGCAAAAACACCGAUAUCUUAUUGGGGAGAAGCAAUCACAUCUGCCGCAUACUUGAUCAAUCGGGUACCUUCUAGCUCAAUUAACUUUCAAACACCUCUCCAAGCUCUUACUAAUGCCGUAGUUGCCCCAACCGUCCGAAAUCUACCUCCUCGUGUUUUUGGUUGCUGGCAUUUGUGCAUCUACACAAGCACCAACGCACCAAGUUAACUUCCCAUGCAUUGCAAUGUGUGUUUGUUGGAUAUGCAUUGCACAAAAAGGGAUAUCGAUGCUACCAUCCUCCAACUCGACAAAUGUAUAUUACAAUGGAUGUGGUGUUUCAUGAAGAUUCAAUGUAUUUUUCAUCUGAGUCUGAACUUCAGGGGGAGUACCAAAAGGAAAUUUAGACUCUCGAUUAUGAUUAUCAUAUCUCUGAGGAAGAUGAAUCUGGACAAUCUGAACUAGUGAACCAGGAAGUGGGUGAGUUGGAUAUGAGUAGUCAACAAUUUGGGUCCGAAGAUGUCUUCACUGAAAUACCAAACCAAUCGUUGUCUGUUGAGGGUGUUCUUAAUUUGGAACCUGAUCCAUUCAUGAAACGGUUACGACAUCGUCAUAAUAGAGGUAUUCCUAAACCCACAUAGGAACCUGAAUUGUCUACUAAAGUCAAAUAUCCCAUGAGCAACUAUGUGUCUACCCAUCGUUUGUCUGAAUCAAAUAAGUCAUUUGUAAAUCAAUUAUCUACUAUAGCUAUUCCAAGGUGGAAAGCAGCCAUGAAUGAAGAGAUGAAAUCAUUGCAAAAGAAUGAAACAUGGGAACUCGUAGAAUGUCCACUAGGAAAGAAGCCAGUUGGGUGUCGUUGGAUCUAUACUGUGAAGUACAAGGCAGAUGGUAGUAUUGAACGAUUUAAAGCAAGACUGGUAGCAAAAGGGUACACUCAAACUUAUGGAAUUGACUACACAGAGACAUUUGCACCUAUAGCUAAGAUCAACACAAUUCGAGUAUUAUUGUCUUUAGCUGCAAACCUAGAUUGGUCAUUACAACAAUUCGAUGUGAAAAAUGCAUUUCUGCAUGGCGAGUUAUCUGAAGAAGUAUAUAUGGAUCUUCCACCAGGAUGCAUGGUAUCAGAAAAGCAAUGUCAGAAGGUGUGCAAAUUGAAGAAGUCAUUGUAUGGGUUGAAGCAAUCCCCGAGAGCAUGGUUUGGAAGGUUCACAAAGUCAAUGAGAGCUUUUGGCUAUCGUCAAAGUAAUUCAGAUCACACUUUGUUCCUAAAAAAACAACAUGGUAAGAUUACGACACUCAUUGUAUAUGUGGAUGACAUGGUAGUUACAGGAAAUGAUCCUGAAGAAAGAAAAGCUCUGCAAAAUUAUCUAUCUAGAGAAUUCGAAAUGAAAUAUCUAGGUCAUCUGAAAUACUUUCUUGGGAUUGAAGUUUCUCGAUCAAGUGAAGGAAUUUUUCUGUCUCAAAGAAAGUAUGCCUUAGAUCUUUUACAGGAGACUGGAAUGUCGGGAUGUCAACCUAUUAAUACACCAAUAGAAGAAGGUCUGAAAUUGUGUGUUGAGCCUAAUCAAGUAUCAACCGAUAAGGGAAGAUACUAGAGACUUGUGGGGAGAUUAAUGUACUUAGCUCAUACAAGACCAGAUCUUGCUUAUGCAUUGAGUGUAGUGAGUCAAUUCAUACAUAAUCCUAGAGAGCAACAUAUGAAUGCAGUCAUGCGUAUUUUUGAGGUAUUUGAAGAAUGCUAACGGGAAGGGGAAUUUUNNNNNNNNNNNNNNNNNNNNNNNNNNNNNNNNNNNNNNNNNNNNNNNNNNNNNNNNNNNNNNNNNNNNNNNNNNNNNNNNNNNNNNNNNNNNNNNNNNNNGUGACAAUAAAGCCGCAUGUGACAUUGCUCAUAAUCCAGUACAACAUGAUCGUACAAAGCAUGUCGAGGUGGAUAGAUUCUUCAUUAAGGAAAAGUUGGAUGAUAAGAUUGUGGAAUUGCCUAAGAUUCGAUCAGAAGAUCAAUUGGCCGAUAUCCUUACCAAAGCUGUCUCAAGUCAAGUGUUCUCAAAAUUUUUAGACAAGUUGGGCAUGUGUGACAUCUAUGCACCAACUUGAGGGAGAGUGUUGAGAUAUUAGGAAUGCUUUCCUUAUAUCAUUCUUUCCUUAUAUCAUUUAGUGUUGAGAUAUUAGGAAUGUUUAGAUAUUAGGAAAGUUGAGAUAUUAUGAAUAUUGAGAUAUUAGGAAUAUUGAGAUACUAGAAAUAUUGAGAUAUUAGGAAUAUUGAGAUAUUAGGAAAGUUGAGAUAUUAGGAAUAUUGAGAUACUAGGAAUAUUGAGAUAUUAGGAAUAUUGAGAUAUUAGGAAAGUUGAGAUAUUAGGAUAUUAGUUGUUAUUUUCUUAUAUCAUUAUUUCCUUGUAUCAUUCUUUCCCAUUCUUAGAAUAGUGAUUACCCUCUAUAUAUACUCUGUACAUGAACGAAUGAAAGUAUGAAUGAAAAAAACUACCAUUUAUCAAUUUGAAGAUGUACUAUAUUUUGAAAUUUUAAUUUUAAAUUCACCAUACAUCUAUGAAAAAUCCCUUUCUCAUACAACCAUUUAAAAAAGGCUACCAUGGCCCCAUACUUUUCCAAUUCCAUGAAUGAGAUCGGAAAUGCACAUCUACCCACUUCUUCGUCCCCCACACUUUGGUUUCCCCUUUUAAUGGAACAACUCCAAUUAAUUGAGGUAUAUGCAAGCUUUCAAAAAAUGGGUAUAUGUUAAUUUAGAUAUGCCAAUCCAAUGGCCCAAAAUGAACUUGUAAUCUAGCUGUACUUUUUCUCCAUUAUAAGGCACUAAAAUGAAUUCCAUGAUUAAGAUUUUGUUACAUGUUUUGGUUUGGAUCCAAUUACCCAUUUGGACCCAAAACCCUAAUAUGUGUUAUUUUCCUAGAUGAUGAAUCUCACUUCAUUAGGGUUUCAUAUGUAAACAAGUAGCUGAUCAAAAACUACCACAGUCAAAAAGUGGAACUCGAUCUUCACAUAUAAAAAUUUAAUACUAAAUCCACUCAUUGUUGCUUUUAGUCAUAAUUCCUACAGAAAAAUUAGAGCAAGCUAUUAUGAAAAAUUAUGAAUGAAGAUAUGAGAAAUAUUAUAUUAUUUAAUUGUUAUAAAAUUUAUCUUAAUCAGGUCUUUUCCUAUUGCAAAAUAAAUAAACAAAUAAAUAGAGUUUUUUUAAUUGCUAUAAUAUAUUUAUUUGUAAGUCUAAAAGUGAACUCAUUGGGAGCUCUAAACCUACUAGUGUGAACAAUUGGAUUACUUAAUUUGGUGAUAGCUCAUUCAUUUAUUUUUUUAAUUGAUUUUUAAAUUUAUUCAUUUCUUUCUUUAUUGGUCUUAUCUCUUGGAAAAUGAUGUUGGACAUCUGGGGCAACCUUCCUAGAAAUUGUAGUGUAUUUUAUAAUCUCAUACACCAAUAGUGAUAUUUCUUGGAAAAUGUGGCUUCUUUUCUUCUUCUUUUUUUCUUUUUUUUCAAUUAAUCACAAAGGUGAUCCAAUGGUCACGCCUUUAGUUGUUUAGAAACCAAACUUUGGUUCCACAUUGCCCUUGGCUUUUAGUCCAAGUAGUAGGUGGUAGCCACAGCCAUAUAUGAUAGUGUUUUCCACUCCCAAGAUUCCAUGAUAUCCCUCUGGUUAUCUAUUCUUAAUCCUAGUAACAAAUAUUGUUAUGAGCAUAUGGUUCUACACCUCAUGCUCAUAUACUUUAUUGAAUUUAACGUGAUUGUCGAAUAAAGGUGCGACAAGUCCAUAUUUUUUUUUAUAAAAAACAAAUGAUUACGAAGACUCUUAUAACAAAAAAAGUUAGAAAAUUUUUAUAAUCCCUAUAAUUUUGUACAUAUCUAAUCCUUAAGAUUAUGAUCAAUCAAGAUUAACAUAAUCAUCAAUGGGUGAGUCAGCUGAAUUUUACUCAUUUACCACUUUGAUUAUUAAUUAUUAAAAGAUUAUAAAUCAAUUUACUCUACCCUUUCUCGCUAUUCUAAGAUUACAUCCGCAUUCAUGAAGGAAGAAAAAAAACAAAGUUGGUGCUCCUUUUAACUUAAAAACCCCAUGAUUAACAAGCAUUGGACAUUGUGCUCAUUUGACCUAGAUGUACCAAUCUAAUGGUUGAAAAUCAAUUUAAUCAAUGCUUCUUAUUAUUUCAUAUCUAACUUAUAUAUUUGUACAUCCUUCCCUAAAAUAUAAACAAUCAUAAAUCACUCAUAAUAAAAGAGUGUAAAAAUCUAUAUAGAUGAUAAAUUGUUGCAUGUGGAUAAUGUUAGGUUCAAUUUAAGUUGAACUCUCAAGGCUUGAACUCACGCCAACUAUGCAAAUUUAGAUGGAAUUAGGACUUUUUAAGUCCAAUUUAAAUUCAAUUGUCUUGAUUCUAUUUAUUUAUUGAUCAUACUCUGAUAUGAUUUGUUUCAUAUUAAAUGUCAGAUUUUUUUUCUUGCCUGUUAGGUCCAACUAGGAGGUGGAGUCACUGCUAAGGUCCUCUCCUUCUCUCUCUCUCUCUCUCUCUCUCUCUCUCUCUCUCUCUCUCUCUCUCUCUCUCUCUCUCUCUCCAUCCAUAAACCUUUGAUUGAUUAAAAAUAUACAAAACAAUAAUGGUGUUCCCCACUAUCCAAAGAUAUCUCUUUGGAACAAACAUGUAUUCAACAAUUAUACAAAACAAUAAUUGUUUCCAUUUCAUAUUUAAUUCAUGCAUGUUAUAUAUAUUGAAGAUUCUAAAAUAAAGACCAGGCAUUUCCAAUAAAGACUAUAUUGCAGUGCAUUUCAUAUACAUGAAACAAAAACUACUCUCUUUUACCUUCUACUUGAUUUCUCUCAUUCACCACCCACUUCUCUUCUCUUUGUGAAGUUUCUACUUGAUUUCUCUCAAUUCACCCACUUCUCUUCUCUUUUGCCAAGCUUCUACUCGAUUUCUCUCAAUUCACCCACUUCUCUUCUCUUUGCUAAGCUUCUACUUGAUUUCUCAUUCACCCACUUCUCUUCUCUUUGUGAAGCUUCUACUUGAUUUCUCUCAUUCACCCACUUCUCUUCUCUUUGUGAUACUUCUACUUGAUUUAUCUCAAUUCACCCACUUCUCUUCUCUUUGCGAAGCUUCUACUUGAUUUCUCUCAUUCACCCACUUCUCUUCUCUUUGCGAAGCAAAGACAUGGCUCUAGUUGGAGAGGCAUUGCUCACAGCUUCUAUUCAAGUUUUGUUGGAAAAGAUGGCUUCUCCCGAGGUCCUGAGCUUCUUCGGGGGACAGAAACUCAAUGCUGCACUCUUGAAUAAGUUGAAGAUCACAUUGCUCACUGUCCAUGCAGUCCUCAAUGAUGCGGAGGUGAAGCAGAGUGAGAAUCCAGCAAUCAAAGAGUGGCUCCACGAACUUAAAGAUGCUGCCUACGACGCGGAGGACUUGUUAGAAGAGAUUGCUACAGAAGCUCUUCGGUGCACGAAGGAGUCUGACUCCCAAACUAGUGGAACUCUGGUAUGGAACGCCAUCUCGACCUCUCUUAAUCCAUUUGGUGACGGGGUGGAGUCCAGGGUUGAGGAGAUAUUUGAUAGAUUAGAAUUUCUUGCUCAAAAAAAAGAUGCUCUUGGGUUGAAAGAAGUUGUUGGUAAGAAACUAGCAAAAAGAUGGCCGUCCACUUCUGUGGUGGAUGAAUCUGGUAUUUAUGGCAGGGAGGGUAGUAAAGAGGAGAUAAUUGACAUGUUGCUCUCAGACAAUGCAAGUGGCCAUGUCAAAACUGUGAUAGCUAUAGUUGGCAUGGGCGGCAUUGGGAAGACCGCCCUAGCACAACUUUUGUAUAAUGAUGAAAGGGUAAAAUCAUAUUUUGAUAUGAAAGCUUGGGUCUGUGUAUCUGAAGAAUUUGAUCUUUUCAAGAUAACGAAAACAAUUCUUGAGGCCAUUAAUGGAGCCGCUUUUAGUUGUACUCGUGAUGUAAAUGACUUGAAUCUGCUUCAAGUGGAGCUAAGAGAGUCCCUUAUUGGGAGGAAAAUUCUAAUAGUUCUGGAUGACGUCUGGAAUGAGAGCUACAAUAACUGGGACAUGCUACAAACUCCGCUUAAAGUUGGAGCAAGUGAUAGUAAGUUUAUUGUAACCACACGCAAUGCAAAUGUUGCAUUAACCAUGCGUGCGCAUCACACUCAUCAUCUCGAGCAACUAUGCUUUGAAGAUAGUUGGCGGCUAUUCACAAAACAUGCAUUUGAAAAUGAAGAUCCUGGUGCACAUCCAAAACUGGAGGCCAUUGCAAAAGAAAUCGUGCAAAAGUGCCAGGGCUUGCCUUUGUCCAUCAAAACACUUGGGGGUCUUUUGCACUAUAAGAUGGAUGAAAAAGAAUGGGAUAACAUAUUGAGGAGUGAAAUGUGGGAUUUGCCGAGUGAUGAACUUCUUCCAACUCUGCGGUUAAGCUAUUAUCAUCUCCCCUCAAAUUUGAAGCGAUGCUUCGCGUAUUGUGCAAUUUUUCCUAAGGGCUAUCAGUUCCGAAAGAGGGGGUUGAUUUUAUCGUGGAUGGCAGAAGGUUUUCUGCAACAACCAAAAAGCAAGAAAAGAAUGGAAGAGAUAGGGGACUGGUACUUUCAUGAAUUAUUGACAAGGUCAUUUUUUCAUAAAUCGAGUAGCAGAGACUCGUGUUUUGAAAUGCAUGACCUUAUAAAUGACAUGGCUCAACAUGUAUCUGGAGAUUUUUGUACUCGAUGUUCGGAAGAUAAGAUGAAUGAUGUGUAUAAGAAGACUCGCCACUUCUCAUACCUUGUAAGUGAAUAUGAUUCCUUUGAAAAAUUUGAGACUCUUGUUGAAGUUAAAUGUCUCAGAACCUUCUUCAAAUUGCAACCACUAUUCAUGCAGUCUUGCUUAAGUAAUAGGGUUUUACAUGAUGUGAUACCAAAUAUUAGAUGCCUCCGUGUUUUGUCCUUGUGUGGUUAUUGGAUUGUUGAUUUGCCUGAUUCAAUGGGCAAUUUAAAAUGUUUACGUCUUUUGAACCUUUCUCACACACCUAUCAAAAGGUUACCAGAAUCAGUGUGUAGUUUGUAUAAUUUACAAAUAAUUCUACUCUCUAAUUGUCGUUGUCUCUGUGAGUUGCCUCGUGGAUUGACGAAAUUGAUUAACCUACGUUAUCUUCGUAUUCGUGAUUCUGGAAUAAAAGAGAUGCCUGAUCAUAUUGGUCAAUUGAGAAAUUUACAAGAAUUGAGCAGAUUUAUUGUGGGUCAAACAAGUGGUCGUAGGAUUGGAGAGCUCAGGGGGCUUUCAGAAAUUAGAGGGAGGCUACACAUUUCAGAACUCCAGAAUGUGGUUUGUGGUAUGGAUGCCUUAGAGGCAAAUUUGAAGGAUAAGAAGUAUGUUGAUGAUUUGGUGCUGGAGUGGAAGAGCAACUCUGAUGUUCUACAAAAUGGAAUUGACAUAGUCAACAACUUGCAACCGCAUGAAAAUGUCCAGAGGCUUACCGUUGACUCCUACGGGGGUACAAGAUUCCCCGAUUGGUUAGGAGAUCAUUUGUUCUUAAAUAUGGUGUUCCUAAAUCUCAAGAAUUGUCAACAUUGCUCUUCUUUGCCGUCACUCGGCCAGCUGUCCUCGCUUAAGGACCUUUAUAUCUCAGGGGUGCAUGGCAUAGAGAGAGUUGGUACUGAUUUCUAUGUCAAUAAUUCUUCCUCAGUAAAGCCCUUCACAUCCCUGGAAACUCUCGUUAUUGAGAAGAUGAGACAGUGGAAGGAAUGGGUAUCUUUCGGAGGAGGCGAAGGUGGAGCAUUCCCUCAUCUGCAGGUGCUCUGCAUAAGGCACUGCCCCAACCUCACUGGAGAAGUACCCUGCCAACUUCCUUCCUUGACGAAACUUGAGAUUUGUGGAUGUCAGCAGCUUGUGGCUUCAGUUGCAAGGGUUUCAGCCAUUCGAGAAUUGAAGAUACUCAAUUGUGGUCAGGUUCUGUUUGGAAGCCCGCCUUAUGACUUCACUCAUCUUCAAACUUUAGAAAUUGAAAUUUCAGACAUCUCACAGUGGAAGGAACUACCUCAGGGAUUGCGGGGGCUCACAAUUCUAAAAUGCUUCUCUGUGGAGUCUCUACUAGAGGGAAUAAUGCAAAACAACAGUUGUCUUCAACACUUGACUCUCAAAUGUUGUUGCCUUUCCAGAUCCUUGUGCAGAUGUUGUUUACCCACUGCAUUGAAAUCAAUAAGCAUAAGUAGGUGUAGGAGACUACAUUUCCUCCUGCCUGAGUUCCUAAAAUGCCACCAUCCCUUCCUUGAACGAUUGUGUAUUGAAGGUGGUUACUGUAGAUCUAUCUCAGCCUUCUCAUUUGGCAUCUUCCCUAAGUUGACUCGUCUUGAAAUCAAUGGUAUUGAGGGGCUUGAAUCCCUCUCCAUUUCGACUUCAGAGGGAUCUCUCCCAGCUCUUGAUAUUCUAAAAAUCCAUAACUGCCACGAUCUCGUAUCUAUUGAGUUUCCAACUUUCGAGUUGACACACUAUGAGAGCAUUCAUUGCAGGAAGCUCAAGUCGUUGAUGUGCUCCCUCGGCUCUUUUGAGAAACUAAUUUUACGAGACUGUCCCCUAUUGUUGUUUCCAGUUCGAGGUUCUGUGUCCAGCAUAAAUUCACUUAGAAUUGACGAGUGCGACAAACUCACACCCCAGGUGGAGUGGGGCUUGCAAGGGCUGGCUUCUCUUGCACAAUUCAGCAUUAGAUGUGGAUGCCAAGACUUGGUGUCGUUUCCAAAGGAAGGCCUGCUGCCCUCAACUCUCACCUCUCUUGUAAUUGAAAGUCUUCCAAAUCUCAAGUCUCUGGAUGGCAAGGGGCUUCAACUGCUUACCUCUCUUCAAAAAUUACACAUCGAUGAUUGUCAGAAUCUUCAAUCCCUGCCAAAAGAGGGGCUUCCCAUCUCCAUUUCUUUUCUAAAAAUUAGCAACUGUCCCCUGCUGAAAAAUCGAUGCCAAUUCUGGAAAGGGGAAGAUUGGCAGCGUAUAGCUCACAUUCCACGCAUUGUGGUGGACGACCAAGUUCUGUAAUGAAGGUACUUAUUCUGUCCUAUAAAUGAUUUCCUUCAAAAGAAAGUAGGUUGUGAUUGAAGCUUUCUAGUCAUAAUAAUAAUAUCUUGUAUUAUUUGUCACUUUCCUGUGCUGAAAAAAUAUUACACCAAUUUAUGUCAUGGCAGGCCUAAAAGCAUUUUUCUCUGGAAAACUGACAUGCUUAAAUACCAAUUUUAUUUUGAUCCAUAAUAAAUAGGAAAAAUAUUCUUUAAAUUUUCUAAUUAUUAUAACAAUUUCUCGCUUUCUUUCAGAUUAUCUGUAUGUCUUGACUCUGGCACUGAUUCAACAUGUGGUCGUGAGGAAUAUUUUAUGACUCCCUUGCUUAAUUAGCGCCUUGAAAAAAUGAUGCUUAAAAGGCAAGCAGCUCUUCAGGUCUGAUUUCGUAAAAUGAGUAAUUUUGUGGACAUUGAGUUUGUUUUCACUGGCUAAUUUGUUGAACUGUCAUGGCAGGCCUUCGAUCCUAGUUUUCUCAACAAAUUCAAGCUGCCUAGAAAUGAUCCUUCCAAUGGGACCAUUUUUUGCUGUGAGUUCAGAGUCAUGAUUCUCUUUCUGGAAGAAAGUGGCAGAGAUUUUUUUCCCAUCCCAAGACUCAUGAGUUGAUACUCCCCUCGAGGAACUACAGAAAGCUUGACUCUGUUGGAGAGUAAAGUAUGUGGCAUGCUCUAUGAUUCCAAUUAGUAAGACAUUUCAAUUGCUUUGGUUUACCUUUCUCAGCUACAAAUUACAAUAUUCAUAAUCUCAUAUGCAUUAAUUCUUCAGGUUCUGAGGCUGCAUCUGUGUUGAUAUCUUAGUUCUUCUCUAGAAACAACAGGUAUAUUUUGAUUCGUACUUUUCAUAAGCUGACACAUUGUGGAGUUCCAUGAUUUUCAAAACGAGAUAAACCUAAUACUAAAUUAUACUGAAGCUAAAACAAAAAUCUUACUGCCUGAGGUUAUGUCUUUGAUGAAUUUUAUUCACUAUGUUCAUACAGCCUCCCGGUGACCUAGACUUUAGCAUGUGCCUUAGUGCACACAUUGUUUUCAUCUCUUUCAGCUUUAAUUGAUCUGCAGAUGUUCAGUGUAGGCACCGCUCAUCUCCUACUCAUUUACAUGAUUGCCAUGGACCUUUGUGCUUUACUUUGUUAAUGGUAAGGUAAUCAUAAUAGUACUACAUUAGUUGAGCAUGGCUGCAACCAUUUUCAUAUUCAGGCUUUUCUUGUGCUUACAAAUGAUAAUGUGAGCUUGAAUUUUCUGUUUUUAAAUUUGUGAUUCUGAGGCAGAUAUUUGGAGAAAAGAGAAGGCAAACCAUAUUCAAAGUCAUAGCACUGCAGAGUAUGCUUUUGUUCCACCAAGUCCAAGUCAAUUGAGUUGAAUCUUAUUAAUACUUCUAGGACACAGGUUCAAAUCAGUUGAUUUUCCAAACCUGAUGACAGCAUCAAAUUCUGCUGAUUACCAUGUGACCAUUUUUAUUUUCAGAUGGUGGUAUUUUGAAUCUUCAGAGCAGUUCCAGGAGGAAGCUUUGCCAAAGCUUCCCUGUGCAAUAUAUGGGCCUUGGUUGCAAGUGAGAUUUGAGGAUUUUAUUUUAUCUUGGAAGACCUCAACCGAUUGUUUUGAGUUUUGAGCUUUGAUCUUUUACUUCCAAGUAUGUGCAAAGAAGAAAGAAAGCAACAACAAAGAUUGGUUUGCCGAAGUUUUAUAUGGAAUGAGACCCCAAUGAAAAAAAUUGUAAUUAUUGGUUUUUCAGCCUUGAACAGUAUAGUUUUGUUUCCCAUUUUGUUCUUUGAGCAAUGUAUUUGUAGAAUCAUACAUUUUGAAGUUACUACUGAUUUUGUGUAUAUACAUACAUAUAAAUGAUGUUCUCUUCUUCAUUCAUAUGGCAUUUGCUUCUUUGGUAUAUGCCGAAAAGUUACAAGUUUGCUCUAGGGUUUUACUUGAAGUGAGGUUAGAUAUGGUUUUUUUUUUUUUUUUUUUGGUGCAUAUAAGAGUUUACAUCAUAGGCAAAUCACUUCCAAUCCAGCCUCUUUUAACAUUUUUGGUUCCUUUCAUCCUCCUCAAUGUGACUUUGGUGCAAGUUGUCUUGAUAUAAAUGUUUGGAGUUUAAGCUUUUGGGUCAAUUUAAUCUUUAACUCAGCAUCAAAGUCUUUGUUUUCAAGAUUUCCUGGUGCUCAUAAGAUGUUUAAAUUGAUACCCAAGUGGAAUUCUAGGACAAAUAUAUAUAUAUAUAUAUAUAUAUAUAUAUAUAUAUAUGUAAAUCAAAAAAGAAAAAGAAAACAUAUAUACCAAGUAUCAAGUAUCAGCGCACUUCAAAUGAUUUUCUAAAUUUUUAAUUUUUUUUUUCAAAUACUUAACUUUAAAAAAAAUUAAAUAAAUAACACUUUAAAAAGUGCUUUUAAUUCUAAUAGAAUCACUUUUAAACGAAUUUGGAUAUAAAUCAAACAAGUUGAUAUUUAGUGCAUCUAAGGCCCUUUCAGUAAUGUUUUUAAAAAUAAUUCUUUUACAGCUUUUGAAAAUAGUUUUUAAAAACGGUUCAUAAUUAUUUUUAGUAUAAAAAACAGUUUUAUUAGUUUAUUAUUCAUAAAGAUAUCAUAUACUUAUCUACUAUGUAAAAGUUUUUAUUACCAAUUCAUGAAUAAGAUCAUAAACCCAUCCACAUUUACCCACUUUUCCAUUCCCCACCCAUGGAGAAGAAGAAAAAGGAAAAUUUUGGGUUCCCCAUGGAACAACACCAAAUUGAGGUAUAUGCAUGGAUGAAAAUUUCGCUAAAUAUUGAUAUAUUGCAUAUCGGGGGAUAUGGAAAUAUCGACUAGGCAAAAUUUCAGGAAAAAUCGCUGAAAAUCGCCAAUAUUUCCCUAUAUAUUGGUGAUUUGGUGAUAUUUCGCCGAUUUUCCCAAUUUUUUCAAGUGGUCAAUGCUGGUCAACACGCGUUACAGUAAAAGCUUAAACUUGUUGUUGAGGGGACUUGAACCCCAAACAAAAGGCUUAAAUUUGCUAUUGAAGGGACUUGAACCCCAAACAAAAGGCUUACCUGAAGCUUGGCCUACCCUUGUUUAAUAUAUUGCACCAAACAUGUUUAUAUUGAAAUUCAUCAAAUAAAAAAAAAUAUUAAAAGAAUAUUUUAGAGAACAAAAUAAUUAUAAUUAUUUUAUAAUUAAAUAAAAAAUUUCAUUUAAUUGAUUACCCAAAAUAUAAAAGUUAUCAUGAUAAUUUUCUUCAUAACGUUUUUAAUAUCAUUAAUAGAUUAAUUAAAUAUUAAAAAAUUAUAUAUAUAUUCUAUAUCAUUUAAUAAAAUGAAUCAUAAUUUUAAUGAUAAAUAUAUUUUAAAAUUAAACAUAUUAUAAUCAAUAUCACAAUAUUAUUAUGAUAUAAUAUUUGAUGUAAUUUAAUAAUAAAUAUACACUUAUAAAAUUCAUAUAUUUUUAUCAAUACAUAGAAUAUUAUUAUCAAAUAUGAUAAAUCAUAUUAUGCAUGCAUCAAAUUCUUCAACAAAACAACUUUAAAAUAUCUAUUAUAUUUCUAAUUAUAUUUGUAUAAGGUUUUUCUUACAUUUCUAUGAAUUUUGAUCAAUUUUAGGUCUACCGAUAUUUUUUUCCAAUAUAUCUAUAAAAUCGAAGUACCGAUAUAUUCGUGAUUAUUGAUAUUUUCAUCCUUGGAUAUAUGCAAGCUUUCAAUGAUGGGUGUGUUAAUUUAGAUCUUUCAAUCCAAUGGCCCAAAAUAAACUUGGAAUCUGGUUGUGUUUUGCUCCAUUAAGGCACUACAAUGAAUUCCAUGAUUAAGAUUUUGUUACAUGUUGUGGUUUGGAUCCAUAUACCCAUUUGGACCCAAAACCCUAAUUUCAGUUAUUUUUUAUGAAAUAUUGAAUCUCACUUCAUUAGGGUUUAAUAUGUAAACAAGUAACUGAUAAAAAAUUACCACAAAGUGACAAAGUAAAACUCUGUAAAAAGGGUCUUCACAUAUGAAAAUUUAAUACUAAAUCCACUUAUUGAUGCUUUUGGUCAUAAUGCCUAUAGAAAACUUAAAAGCGAGCUAGAAUGUAAAAGUAUAAGUGAAGAUGCAAAAAAAUAUAAUAUUUUCUAAUUUUUGUUAAAUCAAUCUAUGGACCCCGCAUUUCGGCUCAUGCGUUUUCCACUCGAUGGCUAGCUCGAUUUUAAUUUGAAAAAUGAUUUUUAUUGAUUAAGAAAAUGACUUGGAGUCGCCACUUAUUUUUGUUUUAUUUUUAAAGGGUAAACAAAAUAAGAAAGAAGAACCCUAAGUGUGACUCCUUAGUUUGGAAAAGGUGGUCUGUGAAAAAUCAGAUCGGGCUCGGGGGUCAGGUUACUUAUCAGGAAGGUUCGGUAAAGACCGUAGCACCCUUCUAAGUCCUAAAGUUGGGUCUCUACUAAUAAAAUGAAGUUGACGUGGCAAUCAAUAGGAAAAUCAAUGGGUACUCAAACCGAUUAAGCGCAUAUGGAAAUCAAAACAUGCAAUAGAGAAUGACCAGAAUAGGAGUAGAUGCAUACCUGGGCCACGAACGAGCAAUGCGCUAUCAUAAAAAUGGGGUUAGUGCACAAUAUAGAGCACGAAACACGUCACAUGCAUCACCAAACGGAAAUUAAAAUUGUUUGAAGGAAAAUUGGAUUUUCGAAAUUCAUUUGAAAAUUGGAGUCUUAGAGGUUAUUUGGAAAUUGGAGUUUUAAAAAUUAUUUGAUGAGAAUUUUAGAAAUUGAAUUUGAAAGAAAUUGGGAUUUUGAGGAAUUAUUAGAAAGUUCGGGAUUUUUAAGGAAAACUAAGUUACGAAAAUUGGGGCUUUGGGAAUUAAAUUUUGAAAGAAAUCAAAAUUGUAAGUUAUUUGAGAAGUAGAGAUUAUGAAAGUCGAUUUAUAUAUAUAAAAAAAAAAAAAAAGUGGCAAUCUUGAAAAUCAUUCAAAGGCAGAAUUUAUAGAAAUAAUGAAUAAAGUAAUAGUGAUAAUGAUAAUAAUAAGUAGCGGGAUAAAUACGGGGAUUGGAGCAUGGGAAAAUGGAAAUUAAGUUUGGAGAUAGGACAAUUGGAAUUUCAGAUAACUAAACUUAGAAAUCGGAAUUUUGAAGAAUUAGACUUUAAUGAUUGAGAUUUUUAAGAGAAAUAAAUAGGUAAAUAUGGGAUAAUGCUACUAAUUAAUCAAAGCGAUAUUGGAACGGAUGACAGUGAAUAGUGAGAUUUGUGAGAUUAAAAAUUAAAUUUUGAAAGAUUGAGAUUUUUAAAAGAUACAAAUAAAUAAAUAUAGAAUAACAUUACUAGUUAAUCAAAAACGAUAUUCGGACGGGUGAAAGGGGAUAGUGAGAUUCGUGAGAUUAAAAAUUAAAUUAGGGAGUCAGGUUUUUGAAGAAUUGGACUUUGAAUAAAUAAAUAAAUAAAUAAAUAUAGGAUGACAAUUCUGCUUAAGGAAAAUAACAUUUAAAUGAAUAAAGAAGAAUAGUGGAAUUUUUAGGGUUGAAAAUUAAGUUAGGACAUCGGAUUUUUGAAGGGUUAGACUUUAAAUAACUAGAUAAAAACGGGAUUGUAAUUCUAAUUGAUGAAAAUAAGACUUAAACGAAUUAUUGAAAAAUUAAGUUAAGGCGGGGGAUUUUCGAAGGAUUAGACUUUAAAUAAGUAAAUGAAUAUGGGAUACUAAUUCUAAUUAAAGAAAAUAACAUUUAGACAAAUAGUAGAAUUUUAGGAUUGAAAAUUAAAUUAUGACAUUGGAUCUUUUUAAAGGAUUGGAUUUUGGAUAAAUAAACUAAUAUAGGAUGAUGAUACUAAUUAACGAAAAUAAUCAUUUAAACCGAAUAAAAUGAAUAGUGGAAUUUUUAGGGGAUUGAAAAUUAAGUUAGGACAUUAGGUUUCUGAAGGAUUGGAUUUUAAAUUAGUAAACCCGUAUAGGAUGAUAAUACUAAUUAACGAAAAUAACAUUUAAACGGAAUAAAAAGAAUAGUGGAAUUUUUAGGGGUUUGAAAAUUAAGUUAGGACAUCGGAUCUCUGAAGGAUUGGAUUUUAAAUUAGUAAACUCGUAUAGAAUGAUAAUACUAAUUAACGAAAAUAACAUUUAAACGGAAUAAAAAGAAUAGUGGAAUCUUUAGGGGUUUGAAAAUUAAGUUAGGACAUCGGAUCUCUGAAGGAUUGGAUUUUAAAUUAGUAAACUCGUAUAGGAUGAUAAUACUAAUUAACGAAAAUAACAUUUAAACGGAAUAAAAAGAAUAGUGGAAUUUUUAGGGGUUUGAAAAUUAAGUUGGGACAUUGAAUUUUUGAAGAGUUGGACCUUAAAUGAAUAAAAAACACAAGGGAUAAGAAUUCUAGUUAACGAAAAUAACAUUUAGGCGAAUAAUAGAAUUUCUAAGGUUGAAAGUUAAAUUGAGAUUUUUGAAAGAUUGGACUUUAAAUAAAUAUGGGAUGAUGAUUCUAAUUGAUAAAAAUGAAAUUUAAACGAAUUGUAGAAUUUUUAGGAUUGAAAAAUUAAAUUAAAAUAUGGAAUGUUCGAAGGAUUAGACUUUAAAUAACUAAAUAAAUACGGGAUUGUAACUCUAAGUGAUGAAAAUAAGAUUGAGUUGAAUUGUAGAGUUUUUAUGAUUUGAAAGAUUAAAUUAAAACAUGGAAUGUUUGAAGGAUUAAACUUUAAAUAACUAGAUAAAUAUAUGAUAAUAAUUCUAAUUGACGUAAAUGAGAUUUAAAUGACUUAUGGAGGGAUUAAAUUAAGACAUGGGAUUUUUAAAAGGGUUAGACUUUAAAUAACUAUAUAUGUAUGAGAUAAUGAUUCUAUUUGAUGAAAAUAAGAUUCAAACGAACUAUUGAAAAAUUAAAUUGAGGCAUAGGAUUUUUGAGGGAUUUAGACUUUAAAUGACUAGGCAAGUAUGGGAUCAUAAUAUUCCAUUUAUAAAAAUAAGAUUUAAGCAAAUAUUUGAAGAAGUAAAUUAAAACAAGGGAUUUGUGAAAGAUUGGUAUAGGGCCCUUCAUCCACACGAACUGGGCCUGGGCUGCAACUCAAAUCCAAGCCCAAAGUCUUCAUGAGUAAGCCCAAUACAAAUAUCCAUCACAAACUUGGGCCUAGUGCCCCAACUCAAGCCCAAGUCCAAAGAUUUCAAUGGGCAAGCCCAAGACACCCAAUGCCUUCACAAACUUGGGCCUUUCAUCUGGGUCCAACCCUCUAAAGCCCAAAUCAACUCUCAUAUCUCUUUGGGCCAUUCAAUCACAUGUUCUUCUCCACUUCAGGUGACGACGACGGAGGAACUGGAGAUGAGAGGCAUCGCCGGGGGCCCUCGAAGCUGGUCCAAGCUGCCAACGCUCCGCGCUGCCUCGCCACAGCGUCGUGCGUGCACACUGUCCCCUUCGUCGCGUCGAACAGUGCACCACCAUUGCCUGCACCGCCACGGAUCUCAACCGGCUGCCUCCCCGCGAUCUCUUCAUUCGAAUUCGCCGAAAACGACGAUGGAACUUUGACGACUUGGCAACUGGCGCGACAGAGACAUGGAUGGGCUUCUUGACGACACCACUUCCAUGGCGAAUCCGCUUCAAUCUGUGACGAUAGGGUCGAGGUUUGGACGCCGAAAGGAGAAGAAAGUAGAGAGAUAUAGAGAGAGAGAGAGAGAGAGAGAGAGAGAGAGAGAUGCGGCGUGGGUGUGGGCACGUAUGCAUGAGGUUGGAAGGUUGGGUUGCCAGCAGCAGGUUUCGAAGAAGGAAAUGUGGGCAAGAUGGUGAAUACGACUGUGGGUAUAGUGAGGUAUGAGCAUGGAAGGUGAAAGUGUGAGGAUGGAAGGUAUGAAAGGAGCGGGUUAGUGAGAUAAAUAGGUAUUCGAAAGGUGGCUAUGCAUGGUGAAAAUGUGGGGGGUAUGGUGGUGCUAAAAAAAGUGAUAAGCAUGGAGGCAUGAAAGAUGGAUAUGAGGGUAGGUAUAAGGAUAUGUGGGUUUGAUAAAGGACGUAGAGAAAGAAAAGGUGGUGGCUGAUUCAUGGGGUUUGUUGGGUAGAGGAUGUGUGCAUAGGAUUAAUGGAAUGGGUAGUGGGCUGGUUUGAUGAGUAGUAAAAGUGGCCAUGGCUAGGGAGGUGGUGAUGAACGACGAAGGUGUCAUGGCGAGAGUGCUAUGAUAAUCAGCAAUAUCAACAAUCAACAACAAGAAAAUGAUCCAGAAAAUCAAUGAAAUACAACGUGUAAUCCAACCCAAACUGAUAAGCAAUGCAAAGAAAACCCAAAAUGAGAAAGAGAUGAGAAGAAAAUGAAUCAAACGGGGCAAAAGACCCACCUCAAGCUCGCCUGUAGCAGCUUUCUUCCUCCGUGCUCUCCCUCUCCAGUCCGCUCCCGCUCAAGAUCCCCCCCUUUCCUAUAGAUAUCUCAUAUCUUUCUUUUUCCUGUUUGUGUCUUCUUUCCCAAGCCAUUACUGGCUCCACUGUUCUUCCAUCCGUCAGCAGGCAUGGCUUCUCAACUACCUACCUGCAGCUGCAUGUCCAUGCCUAGAGAAGGGAUCAAGCCUCCAACUGGGGGUCCCCUACCCCUUUUAGAAAUACAAUGAAAAGUCAAGAAAAAACAACUCUCGGGCCCUCACCACCAAAGGGGGUCUACACAAUCUUAAUUAGGUAAUUUCCUAUUGCAAAAAACAAACAAACAAACAAACAAAUAAAUAAACUUGAAAUUUUUUGUACUUGCUAUAAAAUAUUUAUUUGUAAGUCUAAAAGUUAGCUCAGUGGAAGCUCUAAACCUACUGGUACGAACAAUUGGAUUACUUAAUUUGAUGGUAUCUUAUUCAUUUAUUUUUUAAAUUAAUCUUUAAAUUUAUUUGUUCUUUCAUUAUUGGUCAUGUUUCUUGGUAAAUAAUGUCGUCCAUUUGUGGCAAUUUUCCUAGAAAUUGCAUUGUAUCUUAUAAUCUCAUACACCAAGAUCAUGUUUGAUUUCCAAAAUAGAGAAAAUAUAGAGGAAAGAAAAUAGAGAAAAAAUAGAAAGAAAUAAGAAGUGAAAGAAAAUAAAAAAAAUAAAUUUAAAAUUAAUAAAUUAUUUUUUAUAUUCUGCUUCAAAUUUAUUUCACUUAAAUAAUUUUAAAAUAUAUAAAUUUUUAUUUAAUUUGAAUUAUAUUUGAUUUUCUUUUAUAUUUUUCAUGAUGAAACUAAAUAUGAGAAAAUAAUUUUUCUUUAACAUUUUUUUUUCUUAAUAAUUUAUGAGAGGAAUUUUUAUAUAUAAAAGUACAAUCAAUUUAAAUUUAAUUUUUUAAAAUACAACAUAUUGGAAAAUAUAACUCUAUGGUACUUUAUGUCAUGUUGGAAGUUGUCUUUUGAAGAGGCACAUUUUACAAUUUUCAUAUUAAUCACACCAUUGAAAAUAAAAAUAUAUUUAUACUAAGGAUAUCUCUUGAAGAAACACCUUUAGUAUAAAAUCCAAAUUUGUGAAAUUAUGGAAGGUAUGUCUUGAAAAGACACCUUUAAUGUAAAUUCAAUUUUUUUUUUCAUGUGGCUAAUAUGAAAAUUGUGGAAGAUGUCUCUUCAAAACACAUAUUCAGUACAAAUUCAAUUUUAUGGAAAUGUGAAAGGUAUCUCUUCAAGAGACAUGUUUAGUAUAAAUUCAGUUUGUGGAGUUAUGGAAGGUGUCUCUUGAAGUGACACUGUGGACCCCGCAUUUCGGCUGCUCAAUGUGUUUCCCACUCGAAGGGCGAGCGCGAUUUUUAUUAUUUUGAAGAAUGGAUUUGUCGAUUAAAAUGACUUGGAGUCGCCACUUAUUUUUGUUUUAUUUUUAAAAGGUAAACAAAAUAAGAAAGAAAAACCCUAAGUGUGACUCCUUAAUUUGGAAAAGACGAUCUGCGAAAAACCGGAUCAGGUUCGGGGGUCAGGUUUCUUGUCGGGAAGGUACGGUAAGGACCGUAGCACCCCUCUAAGCUCCUAAAAUGGGUCUCUACUAAUAAAAUGGAUCAAACGUGGCAAUUAAUUCGGAAACCAAGGAAUACCCGGAACUAUCAUGCACAUGUGAGAAUCAAAGCAUGCAUGUAGAAAUACCAUAAUGGGAAUAAAUAUGUACCUGGUUAGCAAACGGCAACGCGCUAUCACAAAAUAGGGUUAGUGAACAAACACAGGUUGAUUAUAUACAUAUCAUGGAACAUAGCAAAACAAUCAAUCAAUUAGUUAGUCAUGAAUUCACAUAUGUGGGGCCCCCACCAAAGCCCAUUUUAUCUUGCUUGAAUCAAUUCCGAUAACUCCAUUGUUCGGAAUUAUGGAAUUUGAUUCCUUGCUUAUUUCAAAACAUUAAAAAAAAAAACAAAAAAAACAGAGGAAGUAUGAAAAUUGCUUGCCAGAAAUAAAAGUGGCAGCGAAGCUUUAUUAAAAAUGUGAUGUUGGAACCUAAAAAAACUUUAAGGAUGAAGUAUGAGGCGAUUGGGACCAUUUGAAUACCAGGAUUUAGAAGAAGUUACAAAAUGGGAUUCGAGGAGCGAGGUACCCAGGAAAGAUGGCGGCGGAGGAAUUCCGGGUACAAUGGGUGUUUUUCCGGACGCGAUGGGCGUCCGGAGGAAAAUGGCGGCGGAAGAAAUUCCGAGUACAAUGGGCGUUCGGAGGAAAAUGGCGGCGGAAGGAAUUUCGGACUUGAUAGGCGUCCGGAGGAAAAUGGCGGCGGGUGAUUCCGGACGCGAUGGGCGUCUGGAGGAAAAUGGCGGCGGAGGAUUUCGGGUAUAAUGGGCGUCCGGAGGAAAAUGGCGGCGAAAGGAAUUUCGGACGCGAUAGGCGUCCGGAGGAAAAUGGCGGCGGAGGAUUCUGGACGCGAUGAGCGUUCGGAGGAAAAUGGAGGCGGAAGGAAUUCCGGGUACAAAAUGCCGUCCAAGUGUAAUGACAGCGGGGGAAGGUUCCGGAACGUGAGGGUGUCCGGAUGGAAUGGUAGAACGUGGUUAUGAGUAGCAUGAAGGAUAGGUAUGGGUGGUAUGGAUAUGGGGGCUUGGGUGAGUAGUUUUAGUGGGUAUGUGUGGGAAUGAAGGAUGGAAUGCACCCCUGAAAGACUAAGUAAGCGAGGGAGCGAGAUGGAGAAUGAAUGAGAAGAAGAUGGGUGUGGGCAUAUUGGAUAAAACGAUGAAUAAGAAACGAAAAUGGGUAUAGAGAUGCUGAUGAGGGGAGCUUUGCUGCCAUGACAACUACUCCAGAUUUUCUAGGAUCUCUUUCGAGCAGGGAUGAGAAAAUGGAUGCGUACCAUGGACGGAUAUCAAGAAACAGGGGAAGUAGAGAAACAGAGUGUGAAAGAAGACGAAUAAAUAAAGAAAAAUCUCAGAAAAUCCAUUUCAUGAAUCAUCCAUGAAUCUUCUGAGCGGGUGGGUAAAUCAUAUCAAAUGCAACCACCCUCAUGAUUCUCAAGCAUUUCAUAACCACAACAGAAGCAUAUCAAAUUUAAAAGAUGGACAAAUCUACGCAAACGCAGGCAUAUAUAUCAACAAACAGAUCGGUGGCCUUCAACAUCCACCCAAAACAACAUUAUGUUAUGGAAAAUCAAUGAAUAAUGAGGGACGAGGAGAAAAACUGUGUACAUACCUGGUUCCUCAAGCAAAAAGAAAACCGGUCUCAGCUCUCUCAAUGAGUUUCCCUCUCUAAAAGACUCCCAAGUAAAUCAGCUAGGAAAAGUCUCCCUCUCUCCUUUGCUCCCUCUUGGCAAUGGAAGAAAAACCAGAGAAAAAUCUCCUCUUCUCUUUCCCCAAAAAUCCUCCUUUCCCACCAGUUCUCUCCAGCUAAAACUCUCCUCUCGUUUUUCUUCCUAUUCACUGGUCAGCACGCAUGGUUCUCCCAACCACCCUCCUGCUGCACGUCUACAAUCUUGUCCCCUCAAACGAUCUCUGCCGCAACCACCUUUUCUCCCUGCAACACUCCUUUUGCAGCCACCUUUUUUCUCUGCCAUCUGCGCCCCUUAACGGCCUACGGGACCCCCUUCCAAAACGUUUCUCCACGUAUCAAAGUCAUACUGCAGCCUCAAAAAGCGAGGUUGAUUCCUUAUGACCACUAAGGAUGUGACACGUGGCCCGCUAGGAUAGUGACACCUGGCUAAAAUGAGCUGCUGAAAAACGAGCCCCAAAUGGGGGUCUACAGACACCUUUAGUAUAAAUUCAAUUUUUUUCAAUGUGUGACCGAUAUGAAAAUUAUGGAAAGACGUCUCUUAAGAGACACUUUUAAUAUAAAUUUAAUUUUAUGAAAUUGUGGAAAUUUUCUUUUAAAGAUACAGUUUUAGAAUAAAUUCAAUUUUGUAAAAUUGUAGGUGUCUCUUCAAAAGACACCUUUACUAUAAAUUAAAAAAUUUCAAUAUGUGGCUGAUAUGAAAAUUAUGGAAGGUGUCUCUUCAAAAGAUAGCUUCUGACAUGAAAAAAAACUACCAUAAUUCCUUAAUAGUUUCACAAGUACCUUUUUUAAAUUUCUUUUGUUUUUUAUAAUUCAUUGUAGAAGUUUUUUUUUUUUUUAAAAAAAAAAACCCCCUUUCCAAGAACCAAGCAUAGUUUAAAUAAUGUUGAUAAUUUUCUACUGAUUCUCCCCAAACUUUUAUUGGAAACUAACAAAAUGGGGCUUAUUAUAGAAUUUUUAAUCUACCUAUCAUUUUGUUGGUCUUCGAAACCACUUUACAAAAUUAAAAAUAAAAAUAAAAAUAAAAACAAAACAAAAGUAGAGGGAACAUUGAUUUCUAGCUUUUAACAAUAAAAAAAUAAAAUAAAAUAAAAUAAAACCCAACAAUUUCUUAAAGUAGGUUUUGGACCUAAUGAAAUACAUAGCAGUUAAACAAUGUCAAAUGACAUAUGACUAUUUGAAAACAAUGUUAAAGACAUUAGUUUGAUCACUGUGAUUCUUAUUACAGCUAGAAUUUUAUUUAUGUAUUUUUUGUUCGUGUGUCACAUUAUAGAGUCUACCAUUGUGAGAACUACAACCCCUUAAGCUUCAAUACUCAUCUCAAUUUUAUGAAGGUUCUUUUAACUAUUAUUUUGAAUUGGGAUUUGGCCACAACCUAAAUUAACCAAGAAUUGACAAUUGAGACAAACUCAUACUCAAAAUCCAAUUGGUUGAACUAAUUGCACUAUGGAAUGCUCAUAAUGUUGGUUCGGUUCAAUAAUUGAGUCGCUAUAGGUAUCAAACUGAAAACAAACUAACUAAACUAUCAUUGAACCCUUUGGACCAAUUCUAUGGUCUGUGCUGUCGAUUUGGUUUAGCAAUCUAGUCGUGCUGGGUAAUGAAUUGAAAACAAAGUUGGGUUGUCUCUUGACCAGUGAACCCAAUAUAUUAGAAUGUAAAAGGCAAAUGAUAAUUAUGCAUGCGCUACUUUUGUGUUUGUUGUAGUGUUAAAUUAUUUUGAAUGUGUAUUCAUAUGUUAUCAUUUUUAAUAAUUAAAUAUAUUGUACCAAAAUGCAAAAGGCAAAUAAUAAUCAUGUCUCUUGCUACUUUUAUGUUUAUUGUGGAGGUAAAUUAUUUUGAAUGUGUAUUUAUAUGUUAUCAUUUUAUAAUUUAAUAUACUAUUUAUCAAGAUUAAUACAAUAAUGUAAACUUAAUAAUUUUUAAGAUAAUAGAAUAGGAUAAUGUAAUGGAUAAAAUUUUAUUAUUUCAUUCUAGAAUAUAUCAUUGAAAUAGUAAAUCAUAAAUAUUACAUAUUCAUACUAUUUAAUAAAUAUACAAAUAUGGAAAUGAUAUAUGCUGGCAAUUUUGUUUCUUUUAAUGUUUGACCUUAUAAGUCUUUUUAGAUAGUGACUUACUCUUCAUUGAAGAUCAAGAGUUGUUGUUCGUCCAAUUAGGAAGUCAUAGUUAUGUUUAAAAAUGUUUGGCUUAUGGCAAGUUAGGCUCUCAAGAGGUAUAAAGAGAAACAAUGCCUUCUUAAUUAAAGAAAAAUGAUUUUUUAUGAAUAUUGAAAGAAAUAGGGGAUGCUCAAGUGGAAAGCAACACUCAAGCACUAGGAUCGCUCAAUUGCUAAGCAUUGUUUAAGUGCCCAAGGUGCUCAAACGAUGGUUAACUAUGCCCAAGGCGCUCAAGAUUUUUCUAUUGAGAUUUGGAAGAUAUUUUUGAGAAUUUCAUGCAAAUCUCAUUUGGAAACCUUAUGAUACCGAAUCUCUUCGGGAUAUUUGCCUAUAAAUAUCUCAUUAUAACCCUUCUAGGGUUAAAUAUUGGAGAGAUUUCGAAGAAGUCUCCUUGAGAGAAAGCAUAAUGAGCCACACCAUUCUCAAUCUCUCAUUCGAAGGAUUCAAGCAUUGAAUCUUAGGUUGAAGACCUUCAUCUCUUCAACAAGGUUGAAGAGUAUUUAUUGAAGCAAUCAAAAGUUGCUACAUCGCGAAUGUGGAUCAAGUUGUAGUUACUUGAAACUAAGUCUUUAGAGUAAAGUGGUCAAGUAAAUUUGUAUAACUUGAUCUCAAUAGUGGAUUUAGAUUAACAGUCCUAAACCUCAUGAUUUUUUAUAUCCACGGUUAGUGUGGGGGGUUUUCCACAUAAACAUCCUUAUGCUUGAUUGCAUAUCUUUAUUUUCUUGUUUGCAUUGCCUAUUAUGGAAAGAUUUGAUAAUUUUUAACUACUCGUAGGGAAAAGUUAGUUAUAAUAUAAAAAUAUUUAUUUAAAAUUUUUUAAUUACACCCAUUCACCCUCCUUCCCUCCCCUAGGUGUUACCCUAUUGAACUUCAGUUUUUCAAUUGGUAUCAGAGUGAGAUAAAAAUUGAUCUUUUACUAAUCAUAUUGAUUAAAAAUCAAAAUUUUAUUGAUAUUUCUGGAUAAAGAUCAAAAUUUUAUUAAUUACAUAGAAUAAAUUUUUAUUGAUCUUGUAAGUCCAAUAAGGAACAAUCAAAAUCUACGGCUUCUCUAAAUAGUCCACCUUACUUCGAUGGCAGUAACUAUUCUCAUUGAAAAGCCUAGAUCAAGUUUUUUCUUAAAAUGCAAGGUUAAUGGAUAUGGAAUUCAAUCAAAUAUGAAUAAGGACCCCCAUUGAUUAUUGAUGUCCAUGGAAGAUCAAUUGAAGAAUUAAAACCUAAACAAGCUAGAUUGGGGCAAAGCCAAUAAUGAAGGGAGUGAAGUCAAUGCUAGGACUUUAUUUAGUAUCUUUAAUGGAGUUUGUCCAUAUGAGUUUCACAAGAUAGCAAAUUUUACUCGUGGUAAGGAAGCAUGGGAUAUUCUUCAAGUCACCUAUGAAGGUACGUCCGUUGUUAAAAUUUCUAAAUUGUAAAUGCUUACUACUAAGUUUGAGAAUAUUAGGAUGCAUGAAAACCAUAACUUUUUUUUUUUAUGAACUAAGUGAUAUAAUUAAUUCUUCAUUUAACCUUGGAGAACCUGUUCUAGGUUCAAAGGUAGUAAGAAAAAUAUCAAGAUCCCUCUUAGAGAGAUUUAAACCUAAAGUUAUAGCCAUAGAGGAGAGUAAGGACAUUGAUUCGAUGAGAGUUGACAAACUUGUUGGCUCCAUACAGACAUAUGAGAUGACCUACCUAAUUCUCAAAGGCCUAAAGACUCUCUGCCUUUAAGGUUUUUGAGAAUAAGGAAAAAGAUACUGAAAUGACAUAUAAUAUAGCUAGGGAUAAAUUGGCUUAUAUGGCUAAAAGAAUUAAAAAGGUCAUGAAAUUCAAUAAAAAGUUUUUCAAAAAUCAAGAAUCUGGAAAAGAAAAAAGACCUAAUGAUAAAUCUUCUAAAGAAAAUGAUAAAGGUUCCUCCAAAGGUAAGAAAGUAGAAUGCUUUAACUGUGGUGGUCUAAGACAUUUUACCAUUGAUUGUCCUAGCCCUAAAAAUAUAAAAAAGUCUAUGUAGGCCACAUGGAGUGACAUUGAUUUUGAAGAAAGUGGUUUCACAACUUCUGAAGAUGCAAGGUAUGAUCCUAAUGACUUUUUAGCCUUUGUGGCAUCUAUGGAAUCUAUGCAUGAUAGUGAAUGUGAUAGUGAUAGUGAUGAUGAAUUCACAGAUGAUCAAAAGCUGUUUUUUUUUAAAUAACUUUGUUGUUAAACAUGAAAAACUAAUUAAGAAUUAUUUAAGAGACCAUGAUAUUCCUGAAGCUCACAAAACUAAGGUUGAUGUGCUAAACGAACAGAGUAUUAAUCUUCUUGAAAAAACAAAAAAUAGAUUUCUUGAGUUUGAACAUCAUUAUUUUCUUAACAAGAAUAAUGCUCUCUCAUUCAAGAGAUGAAAAGUAAUAAGUCCUCUUCAUCUACAAAUGAGAUCUUUCAACCUGGAACUAAAGUGUUUAAUGAAAUACUUGAUAAAUGUAAAACCUAUGGUAAUAAAAGAGGUUUGGGAUACAUUAAUAAAGAUGAAACUCUUUUUAGUGGAGAAACAAUUUUCGUAAAAGAAAACAAAGAAACCCUUAACCAAGUUGGAUCUCUUAUCCUUACAUUACUAUGCACACACUAAGAAAUAGGAUACACUCAAUAUAGGUGCUACAGUAAGUUCCUAGAGAGAUUUGAAUCUCAAAUGAGUAGGCUAAUGAAUGACUUUAAUUCCCUUGAAAAUAACAUGUUUCAAUAAUGGGAAAGGGAAUAAACCUAAUCAAAAGCCUAGAAAUCAACAAAUCUUCUCUAAGUCAUCACCUAGGAUUAAACAAGUUUGGAUGAGAAAAGAUUGGGAUAAAUGUUAGGUUGUCUUCACUACUCUUAAAGUUACGUCUUCUAGUGAGUGGUACUUCUAUAGUGGCUGCUCUAGACACAUGAUAGGAGAUAAGUCAUUUUUCACUUCUCUUGAGGAUUAUAAUGGUGGCACAGUUACCUUUGGGGGUGGAAGCUUAGCUCAUGUGAAAAGAAAGAAAAGUAUAUCUAUCCUAAUGUCCUAAAUUAGAUAGAGUUCUCCAUGUAGAUGGAGUAAGAUCAAACCUCCUAAGUAUUAGUUAGAUAUGUGAAAAUGAACAUAGGGUGAAUUUUUGUCAUGACUUAUGCAAGGUAGUGAAUAAAGAAGGAAACACUACUACAAAAAUAAUAUAUGAUGUCACUAUUUAUGGUGUCGCAUUUAAAAUAAUGACACCAUUGAACUUAAAAUUUAUAAAGGUGACACAUCAUAUAAAAAAUCUUCAAUUAGGAUAGUUAGAUGAUGCUAAUUUCAGAUUUACGGUGUCAUUUUUUGGAAGUGACACCAUAUGAAAUAAAAAGUUUUAAAUUUUAUAACUUAAUGGGCCCUUUUUAAAAAUAGUGAGUAGGAACAAUUUAUGAAAAGUCCAUUGUUUCCAUAUAUACAUUAACUAAUAUAAAAGAUCUUAUUGCUUAACCCUAACCAUCGUUUUCUUCUCCUUCUUCUCACACCCAUGGUCAGCACACCCAUAAUUGAUAUUCUUUGCUUCGUAAAAUCUCGGGUAAGUCAAAAUCUCUUAUCUAUCAUCUUCAUUUUUUUUAUUAAUGCAAAAAACUUUGUUAGUAUAAUUGUUUUAUAUCUCUUGAUUUAGUAUAUCUAUGAUGUGGGUUUUGUAAAUGGUGUUUUUUAUCGAGUUCCAAUGAAGUAAAAACUAGGUUUAACAUUCUAACAUAUUUUUUGUUUCAUUGCUAAUAAGCCCCAAAACAAAUGAAAACAAGAAAAAUGAAUUAUUUUUAAAAUUUUUGUCUAAUUGAGAAUGAGAGAUACACUAGUUUGUAGUAAUUUUUCGCAUGAAAUAGUAUUUUAUUGAAGACUUGACUAUAUUUGAUACUUUUUUCCACCGUGCUAGGAGCUUUUUGGUGAAAUCUAACAAUAGAGAUUGACAUCUACUACAAGAUGAUACUCAAUUAAUCCAAAAGCACUUAAGUUAUUUAGGGUUUUCUUCAGUUAACCUAAGAAAACAUUCCCACUUUCUUUGUAUUGAGUCACCUAAAUAGAAUAGAAUAUUGGGUAUCAGAGUCGUAAAGGGUAUUAUAAAUAUGACUUUUUUUUUAGAGUCACCUACGUGGAAUGAAUUAUUGGUAGGUGAACAAAAUAUUGGGGUGAUUGUAAUAGUUGAAUUAGUAAAUGGAAGAUAAGUGUAUGUUGCUUUGUUUAUUCUAUAAAAACAAUAAUUUUAGUAGUUGAAAUUUACAUGCUUUGUUGUUUUAUAAAAACAAUAAUUUUAGUAUUUGAAAUUUUAAAAUGUGAAUGAAAUGCCUGAAAAUAUGUUUUGAAAAAUAGGAUAGUAAUAAAUGGAAAAUAACUCAUUUCCUAAAAAUAUUUUGAUAAAUUAAAAUAAUAUGUGGUUAAAAUAUAUUUUUGUGAAAGUAUUUAAAAAUGAAUNNNNNNNNNNNNNNNNNNNNNNNNNNNNNNNNNNNNNNNNNNNNNNNNNNNNNNNNNNNNNNNNNNNNNNNNNNNNNNNNNNNNNNNNNNNNNNNNNNNNAAAAUAUUUUUGAAAAUAGAAAUAUAAAUGAUAUAGCUCAUUUCCUAAAAAUCUUUGAUAAAUAAAAUAACUGUAGUUAAAAUAUAUCUUAUGAAAGUAUUUAAAAAUGAACCAAUAUAUUUAUAAUUGUUAUUUGUUUAAAAAUAAUUUAAUAGUAAAAAAAUAAUACUGAGUUCAAAUAUGACUACUUUGUUAUGAGAUUCAUUAAAGAAAUAAUUGUUGAUUUUACAGUUAUUGCAUAAAAUGUUUUACUCGUUUAAUGAAUUGUACAUAAUUUCAUACUUUCAAUUAUUGUGAUAUUAAUGUUAUUCUCAUUUGAUUUCAGUUUGAUGACAAAUAAAACAUAUUCUCAAGUAGAAUUUGAUGAAAUUAGAGAAAAAUAGAUUACUUUUGUGUUAUAACUAAUCAUGAAUCAUAUUGAUGUAUCGUGAUCAUUCAUGGUAAGUCCCUUAGUUGUUAUAUGAUUGAAUUUUCCAUUGAUAUUGUAUAACAUUACUUAUUCUUUACGAACUAUUUUUAUACCAAAAUGAGAAAAAGGAAAAAGAAAAAGAAAACAUUAGUACUUAGAUUUGUUUAUUGUUUAUAACAUCACAUUUUUAUUUUCAAUAAGAACUCUAAAACUCAUUAAACUAUGAAAUGCAGGUAUACACUCUUGGGAGGACAAUAUGAAGAAUAAAAAGAAAGGCGAAAGAGGCAACAAGAUUUAGGUUUUUAGAUAUGUCUCUUAUGUCAUACAUUAUAGGACAUAAAUGUUACUUUAUUUGGAAUUGAGAAUUUUGGGUUUUUGGAUGCAACUCUUGUGUCUUUUUAUGGUUAGUCAGUUUUAUGCAUAUGAAAUGCAAGUAUAUAUGAAUGUUGGGAAGCUUAACAUUUCUAAAUCAUGUUUUAAUGUGUAUUCACUUUUCUUUUUUAGUUUUGGUGGGUUUGAUGUGUUUGAUGUACUAUCAUUUUGUGAACAUUUGAUAUACAAAUAUUAUUGGAUGAUGUAAUAUGUUACAAAUUAAUUCAUAAGCNNNNNNNNNNNNNNNNNNNNNNNNNNNNNNNNNNNNNNNNNNNNNNNNNNNNNNNNNNNNNNNNNNNNNNNNNNNNNNNNNNNNNNNNNNNNNNNNNNNNUAUAUUUUUGUGAAAGUAUUUAAAAAUGAAUCAAAAUAUAAAUAAUUGUUAUUUUGUUUGAAAAUAAUUUAGGAAUAUAAAAUAAUAUUGGGGAUAAUUUUUGAGUUUAAAUUGGGUUAUAAAUGGUUAAUUUUUUUAGGACUGUCCUUUUUGAAAAUAAUCCAAUGAUAAUUUUUUUAAAUAAGAAUGUUGAAAAUAAUUUUAAAAAUAAAAUUUUGUUGACAAUGAUUUUUCUAAAAGUAUUUUAGGCAUAAAUGGAAAUUUCUUGUAUGAAAAUAAGAGAAUUUAUAUAUAUAUAUAUAUAUAUAAUAGACAUAAAAAUAGACUUCUUUGAUAUUUAAUAAACAAGUGAAUUUUUCUCUAAAAAAAGAAUGAAAUAAGAAUUUCUCUAUAUAAUAAAAUAAUUUAUAUAUGAGAUAGUUUUCAAUAAGAAAGUUUUGAAAAUAAAUUUGGGAUAAAAUAUUUUUUAGUAAGUUUUGUUUAGAUAAUUCAAGAAUAAAGUGGUUUAUUAACUUUUCUUAAAAAAUAACAUUCUUCUUUCUUUUUUGAAUUGAUCAAUUUUUUUAGAAAUAAAAUUGUUAGAUUCUAUUUUUUGUAAAUGUUUAAGAAAUUCUAAAAAAUUCUUUAAAAAUGAAAUGACCUUUCUACCACAUUCCUUGUAAUAAAUAAUUGUUUUUUUUAUACAUAUUGUAAAGUAAAAAAAAAAAGUAUUUGUUUAGUUAACCUAAGAAGACAUUCCUACUUUUCUUUGUGUUGAGAGUCACCUAAAUGGAAUAAAAUAUUCAAUAUCAUAGGAGAGUAAAAAGUAUUGUAUAAAUGAUUUUGUUGAGAGAGUUAUCUAAAUGGAAUGAGAUAUUGGUAGGUGAAUAAAAUAUUAUGGUGAUUGUAAUAGUUGACUUAGUGAGUGGAGGAGAAGUGUAUGUUUCUUUGUUUAUUCUAUAAAAACAAUAAUUUUAGUAGUUGAAAACGUGUAUGAAAUGACUGAAAAUAUUUUUUGAAAAAUAAGAAAAUAAUAAAUGGAUAAUAGCUCAUUUCCUAAAAAUCUUUUGAUAAAUUAAAAUAACUUGUAGUUAAAAUAUAUUCUUAUGAAAGUAUUUAAAAAUGAACCAAUAUAUUAAUAAUUGUUAUUUUGUUUAAAAUAAUUUAUAGUAAAAAAUAUACUGAGUUCAAUAUGACUACUUUGUNNNNNNNNNNNNNNNNNNNNNNNNNNNNNNNNNNNNNNNNNNNNNNNNNNNNNNNNNNNNNNNNNNNNNNNNNNNNNNNNNNNNNNNNNNNNNNNNNNNNGCAACUCUUGUGUCUUUUUAUGGUUAGUCAGUUUUAUGCAUAUGAAAUGCAAGUAUAUAUGAAUGUUGGGAAGCUUAACAUUUCUAAAUCAUGUUUUAAUGUGUAUUCACUUUUCUUUUUUAGUUUUGGUGGGUUUGAUGUGUUUGAUGUACUAUCAUUUUGUGAACAUUUGAUAUACAAAUAUUAUUGGAUGAUGUAAUAUGUUACAAAUUAAUUCAUAAGCAUUAUGAAAAUAUAAGUUAAAUGUAAUAUGAUUAUUAUAUUUAUGGACAAUUUACACAGGUUAGUCUUAUUUAUUAAUAAGCAUUACAAAAAUCUACAAACUAAUCAAUAAAAAACAACCAUAUCUUCCAUAAUCAUUUACAAUGAUGUGACACCAUAAAUUAAAGGUGAUACAUUUAACGUGACACCAUAACUCAAAGAUGAUGCAUUUAAUAUGACACCUUAUAUAUCUCAUACAACUCUAUAUCAAAUUAAGCAUCACUAAAAAUAUAUGGUGUCUUUUCUGAAUGUGUCACCAUUUAUCUACUUUGGUGUCGCUUCCAAAUACGUCACCAAUUGAUACCCUCUAUGGUGUCAGUGGAUAAGGUGACGCUAUAUUGUAGUGACACCCUAUGUUUAUAGCGACUUAUUAUAAAUGUCACCAUAUAUUUUUUUCCUUGUAGUGAAAAGUCAUUAUCAUAGGACACAUGAAAGUUAACAACUCUUAUGUAAUAAAUUCUAACUCUAAAAGUGCACUAGGGCAAAGGUAGAUCUUACUGAACUCUAGUAUAGAAGGCUAGGUCACAAACUAUAGGGAUCUUGUACAUGUAGUGAAUAGUGAAAAAGUUAGAUGUGUCCUUAAACUAAGUGGUGAACCUAAACCCAUUUGGUAGUGAGUGUAUGAAAGGUAAACAAACUAAAAGUUCACACAAAAAGGUUAAAGAAAUUAGAAUCACUAGACCUUUAGACCUACUUCAUAUGGAUCUUAUUAGUCCCAUGUGUACUAAAAGUAGAGAUGGUAAGAGAUAUGUCCUAGUUGUUGUGAAUGAUUUUUCAAGAUACUCAUUUGUGAGUUUUCUUAGAGAGAAAUCAGAGACCAUAGAGCAUUUGAAGUCAUUGUUCACAAGAAUACAAGUGGAGAUAGGCCAUCCAAUUGUGAGGAUUAGGAGUGAUAGUAGGGAGAAGAGAGUUUGACAAUGUGGAUGUUGACCUCUUUUGUGAGUAAAAAGGUAUCAAACAUGAAUUUUCAGCCUCUAGAACUCCUCACUUAAAUGGAGUGGCUGAAAGAAAAAAUAGAGUGUUACAAGAAAUGGCUAGAGUGAUGAUUCCUACGCAUAAUACCCCUAUGCAAUUUUGGGUUGAAGCUAUAAAUACGACAUGUUAUACUACCAAUAAGAUUUUUCUUAGGCCUGCAACAAUGAAAACAUCUUAUGAAUUAUGGACUAGGAGAAAACCUAACCUUACGUAUUUUAGAACUUUUGGUAGUGAGUGCUACAUACUCAAGGAUGGGGAGAACCUAGGGAAAUUUAAUGCAAAAUUUGAUGUAGGUAUCUUCCUAGGCUAUUCUACUAAGAGUAAAGCCUAUAAGGUUUAUAAUCAAAAUUCACACAUUGUCCAAGAAUCCUCUAAUGUGGUUAUAAAUGAUAUUGGGUAUGAUCAUGAUGUAUUAAUUGAGAAUCAAAUUUUAACCCAAGAAUUAAUUGGGGAUAACCCUAAAAAUGUGGAGAUCAUAGAAGAUAACCCUAAUAAUAUCCCUAAAAGUAAAAUCAAACCCUAACAAGGAUGAAAAUUUAUCUCAAGAAGACACUAUUGAAGAAACAAGGAAUAAACAUAAAUCCAGAGUAGAAAAAAACCACCAUAUCUCAAAUGUUAUAAGUAACAUGAAUGAACGUGUGGUUACUAGAACAAAAUCAAGAUUAAAUGAGAUGUUGUAUGCUACACCUCCCAAUUGGAGCCAAAGAAUUAUAGAGGAAGUUUUAGGAUAUGAGUCUUGGGUCUAAAGAUAAGCAUGUCAGAAGUACAAAAUAAAUUUUAAAAAAUAUACAAAAUGAAAAUAGGGUCAUUGUGAGGAACAAAGUAAGAUUAGUAGCCCAAAGAUAUUCAUAGGCAGAGGGGAUUGACUAUAAAGAGACAUUUGCACCCGUAGCUAGAUUAAAAUCAAUUGGGAUACUUUUGGUCAUAGCAUGCUCCUUGAGGAUGAAGCUUUGUCAAAUGGAUGUCAAGAGUGCUUUCCUAAAUGGGAUUCUUCUUAAUUCAAACAUUAGGUUAGAAAUUAUGCAAAUUUCAUUAAAAUGAUUUUUCUUUACAUGACCAUUAUUCAAAACAUUAUUAAUUUUUUUAUAUAAAAAACUUCAAAUCAAUAGGAUUAGAUAGAAAAAAAAAAAACAAUUUGAAGCAUUUCUAAAAGAAAACCAAAUGCUUAUAUCCUUCUUGUACCAAUUUGAUACGUUUGAUGAUGAUUGACAUUGCCUUCAUUUCCUUUGGAAGAUUAUUUGUUUUUUUACUCUAUUUGUUGUGGAGUUUUCUUCAACUUCACUUGACCUUUCAUUCUCCUUCACCUGCCCUUGUUGUUGAGCUAAGCAUCAUCAAUUCUCUCUUCCAAUUGACUAGCUCAAAAUCAUCGUUGACAUAUUCUCAACCAAGAGAGUUAGAAGAAUAAAAAAUUAAGAAAUGCUCCAUCAUUGAUAUAAAUCAAGUUUUUGCCAAAAACUUUCUUUUGAUUUGAAAAAUCGAGCAUUUGCAUCCAAAUGACAAGUCCAAAGAUAAUAUUCAAAAAAAAUUCUUUAAAGAUGAUUUAUGCGUAAAAAAAAAAAAUUAUAUUUCACAUUAUCAACAUAUCUAUUUUAAAGUAUGAGAGGGACAACAUUACUUAAAAUUACCAAUUUCAAUUUUAUCCAAGGUAAACAUAUUCUUCUUUUUCAAGCAUGGAUUCCUACAAAACCAAAUAGAUAAUCAUUGGUACCCAUAUCUCCUUAGGUCCUAAACACUUAGUCUCUCAUUCCUUUAGAAUCUAAAAUGAUCUAGAGUUGAACAAUAUGAGAAGAUUUUCUUAAUGAACAAUUAUUACCAUAGUUUUAAAACCAACUGUCGACCAGCAGCCUUUCCGGUCCAAUCCUUUCUUUUGAGCCGAACACCCAUCGAACCAUUCUUAAGUUGCCUGAACAAGCUAAUGAGUUGGCGAACCAGAUGAACUAGGCUAUUUUGUAAUAACCGAAUAGUUCAAAACUCACUCUAUUUGCUACCCUUUUCUUUUUGGCAAAAUGUGGCCCAAAUUGCUUUUCGACGUGGAAUAACUGGAAUGAAUAUUUUAAAGAAAAAUUACAUUUAUAACUACAUGAGAAGAGCUUAAACCCCAAACCCCAAGUUAAAGUAAAGUCGACAACACCACUCUAUUACGCCCCAUUUGUUGUUAAAAUUGAUUAAAAAUAAAUAAGUAAAUUACCUAUGUUAUUUCAAAAAAAUAAUAUAUAUAUAUAUAUAUAUAUAUAACAAAAGCACCUCUACGAGGGGGUGCAACCCUUUGAAUGGACCGUAAAGGCUAAUCCUUGGAAAAUUUGGUUUUGGGUAUAUAUCAUCAUUAAGUUAGAUUAUUUUUAUUUAUGUUUCUAGAUUACACUCAAUGACAGUUUUUCAAGACUUAAUCAUUUAGGUAGAUUGUGUUUUCUAGAUCUAAUUGAAUAUAAAGUUAAUUGUUUUUUCCAAAAUUUGUUUUCUAUAUAUUAUCGUUAAGUCCAAAUUGAGUAAUAAAUACAUCACUUUUGAUAAAUUAAGUAAUACAACAUGACUCAUACCUAUUUUUCCUUUGAUUUUAUUUUCAAAUAAUAAAAAAAUAAGUUGACAAGACCUAUUUUGCCUUAAAUUUUAUUUUCGAAUACUAAAAGAAAAUUGACAUGAACUAUUUUUCCUUAAAUUUUAUUUUUGAAUAGUAAAAAAUAAUUUGACAUGAACUAUUUUUCCUUAAAUUUAUUUUCAAAUAGUAAAAAACAAGUUGAUACUAUACAUAAUAACCUAUCCUAUUUAUUAUGGUCAAUUCCAAAAUGAGUAAUAUGACAUCACUCAUGAUAAAUUAGGUGAUACAACACGAUAUGACCUAUUUUUUCUUAGAUUUUAUUUUCAAAUAGUAAAAAAACAAGUUGAUACAACCUAUUUUUCCAUAAAUUUUAUUUUUUGAACACUUAAAAACAAGUUAACAUGACUUAUUUUUCCUAAAAUUUAUUUUUGAAUAGUAAAAAACAAGUUGAUAUCAUAAUUACCUAUCCUAUUUAUUAUGGUCAAUUCCAAAUUGAGUGAUAUGAUAUACCCAUGAUAAAUUGGGUGAGACCACCUAUUUUUCCUUAGAUUUUAUUCUCAAACAAUAAAAUAAAAUAAAAAGUUGACAAGACCUAUUUUUCCUUAGAUUUUAUUUUUGAAUAGGAAAAAUAUAAGUUGACAUGACCUAUUUUUCCAUAGAUUUUAUUUUUGAAUAGUAAAAGAAAGUUGACACCACCUAGUUUUCCUUUAAAAAAAAAUGAACAAUAAAAAGCAAGUUGACACAACCUAUUUUUUCCUUAAAUUUUAUUUUCAAAUAGUAAAAACAAGCAGACACCACCUACAAGUUGACAUGAUUUAUAUUUCCUUAUAUUUUAUUUUCAAAGAGUAAAUCCAAGUUGACAUGAUCUAUUUUUCCUUAAAUUUUAUUUUUGAACAGUUUGCAAGGACUACCCUCUCCUACCUGUCUUAGAAUCUCAAGCCUUCAAAAGAAGUUAGAGAUCUAUGACUGCCCCAAGCUCCAAUCUAUAUCCUUGACAGAAGAGCAAUUGCCCCCCAACCUUUCUGUUCUAACAAUCCAGAAGUGCCCAUUGUUGAGAGGUCAGUGCAAAGUUUUGGACAAGGGAAGAUUGGCAUAAGAUAGCACACAUUCCACACAUUGUGAUCGAUGACCAAGUUUUGUAAUCAAGGUAGCAUUGCACCAAUUUUUAGUCAAGUAUUGGUUUUGUCCUGAAAGUAAUUUUCUCACGAAAACUUAUAUGCUUAAAUACCAAUUUUAAUUUGAACAAUUAUAAAUAGGAAAAAUAUGCUUUAAAUUUUCUAAUUAUUACAAUAUUUUCUUGCUUUCUUUCAAGUUAUCAAUAAUUCUUCACUCUUAUAAAUUGAUGCUUCAUAUCUUCGUAAGAAAUCUUCUUUUAAUCAAUAAUGUCUUAUUGAAUGCUUCAAAUUAUUAAGGAGCACAAUAUGCAUAUUGAACCAAAAUCCUUCAAGUUCAAGCUUUUAGGGAAAUUGGUAGUUCAAUAAGGUAUUAGAACUUGAUUUGCUAAGAGUCAUGAGUUCAAGCCACUUGCAAUAUGCAUGUUUGUUUCCCCUAUUUGUUUCUCAUCUCCCCCUUUGCAAUUCUUCAAUAUAUCUAUCCCCCAAUUUACAAUCCUUUAGUAUCUCUCUCCCCCAAUUUACAAUUCUAUGGUAUCUCUCCACAUGAGGGAGAGGGUUAAGGAGCAUGAUAUGCAUAUUGAACCCAAAUCCUCCAAACUUAAGCUUUUAGAAAAAUUGAUAGUUCUACCAAAAAGUCAAGCAAUUCUACAUGUCUGGUUUCAUAACUCGUGUUUCUUGUAUAACUUUAUGGACCUUGAAUUUGUAACUUGUGUUUCUUGAAUUCGUUUUCAUUGGCUAACUCACUGAAACCUCAUGGCAGUCCUUGGAUCCUAGUUUUCUCAACAAAUUCGAGUGGUCUAGCAUAUUUUUUUUAGCAUCCAAAGACCCAUGAUUGAUACACUUCUUGAGGAACUAGAGAAAGCUCAACUAUAUUGGAGACUGCAGUAUGCAACAUGUUCUAUGAUUCCAAUUAGUAAGACAUUUCAAUUCCUUUAUUUUAACUUUCUAAGCUACAAACUAAAAAGAUUUUCAAUCCCAUAUGCAUUAUUUUUAAGAUUCUUUGUGUUAAUAUCUUAGAUCUUCUCUAGAAUCAACAGGUAUGUACCUUAUGAUUCAUACUUUUCAUAAAGAAAAUUGUCAAAAAUUUAAUUUUCUUUUCUUUAACUUUUUCAUGUAGAAUCAAACAAGAAUUUUUUAUAUAGAUAAUUUUUACUAUGUUUUUUUUCCUUCUCUUUUUUCUUUAUGAUUUUUUUCCUUCAAAUUUUUAAGAAAUAAAAAAUUAUCUGACUUACAUUUAUAAAAUGUAGUCAUAUAGUAUAGUAUAAUGUUGUGUGGGCUAUGAGUUGAUAUGAUAUUCUUAAGGCCUUAGCUCAUGACCAAUAUGCAAGUUUAGUUUGAAUCAGAUUUUCUAAUGUACUAUAUCCUAGAUAGUCUUUUCUGAUGAUAAAAAUUCAAAUCUUUCUAGAAAUUUUAUUAUUUAAUGUGGAUGCGUAAACUUUGAUUUGCAACUUUGAAAAUUUAAGGCAAUUGUUGAAUAAAGGUGUGAUACGUUUGUUUUUUUAAUUAAAAAAUAGAUAAUAUAAAACUCUUAUAAUAAAAAAGAUUAAAUUUCUAAAAUCCAUAUCUAAUCCCCAGAUUCACAGUCGUCAAUCUAGAUUGACGUAACCAAUUGGCAUGCUAGAAUUUCACUCAUUUGGACACUUUUAUUAUUAAUUACGUACUAACAUGUUAAAGUCAAUGACAAUAAUCUAAUUUAGUCCACUCUUUUAUGCUAUUCUAAGAUUUCAUCCUCAUUCAUGGAGAAAGAAUAAAAAGGUGUUCCUUUUAACUUAACAAACCAAGAAUGACAAGCAUUUAGACAUUGUGCUCUCAAAAACACCAAGAUAUACCAAUCCAUUAAUGGUCUAAAAUCAACUUCACAAAUGACAAAUAUAAGCAACCAUAAAUCACUCAUUAUAAAAAAUGUUAAAAGAGAUAAAUCAAAAGUGAUUGUAGGUUUGUAAUGUUAGGUCCAACGGAGUAAAAAUUCUCAAGGUCUCAACUCAUGCCAAAUAUGCAAAUUUUGAUGGAAUUAAUUAGGAUGUCUCAACUUUUUCUUUUCCUUUUCUUAGGUUGGAUUUAUAUUGGUUGAUAGUGAUUCUAUUUAUCUAUUAAUAAAAAGUUUACUUUUUAAAUCUAAACUAAAAGUACAUUAUAUUUAUUAAUCUAUAGCAUUAUAAAAGUUUGAAAAAUCUUUAGGGUAACAAUAUCCAUAUUAUGUUCAUUCAUAUCUCAAAUAUUAAAGCUAUAUUAAAACUAUUAACAUUGUAAAUAUGAAUACUUAUUCUUAUAUAUUCUUAAAUAAGAUAUUGAUAGAUAGUGACUAAGUAUAUCCCGAACAAAUACUAUAAUAAUGUGUAAAAUAAAUAUAACAUGUGUUUAUUUUAUAGAAAAGUAUGAUUUAUAUAUAAUUUCACAUAUUUUAUAGGAUAUUUCUUUUCUAAAAAUGAGCUAUCUCCUGCUGAAACAUCAAUACCAAUUCUGGAAAGGGGAAGAUUGGCAGCAUAUAGCUCACAUUCCACGCAUUGUGGUGGACGAUCAACAAGGUUCUUAUAAUGUGCUAUAAAUGAUUUUUCUUCAAAAGGCAGUAAGUUGUGAUCGAAACUUUCUAGUCAUAUUGUUUUCUUCCAGCUUAGUACAUGCUUUUUCACUCUGGGGUUUAAUCCUUUGGCAAUACUUUCUAUUAUCAUGAUUGCCUCUAAUUAACCAUAAACUUAACUAUUUUUUAUAUCGGCUGUAUCCAAUCUACUCGUAUCACAGCUCUAUAAAUUUUCUUCCCUGCUACUUUGCGUAAGGUUAUGUUUGAUUUCUCGGAAAGUACUAAGAAAAGGAAAAAAAAAAAUGCUAAAAAUCGGAGGCUUACUAUCACAAACAAUCAGAGGCUUACUCCAAUCAAUUAAUGAGGGCAAACUAAUGAUACAUGAAUGAGUUUCUUCUAACUCAACAACUUAAGUUUAGGUAAAUUUCAGGCUCUAAUAGGCAUCUCCACUUUAGUCACAGCUUGUUUGGUAGCCUCUCCUAGUACUCAAAGAUAGACUCAUAAAGGAAGAAAAAAGAACUCAACCUCAUAAAUGAGAAGUAAGAAUUGAAAAAUCCAGGGAAACAAGCAAGCUAGAGCAGCAAGAGAAGAAUGGAGGCUAUCAAGAGGACUGUCCGGUCCUAUGCUGAGGAAAGAACAAAACUUGGACAACAUGCUUUGUGUUGCAGUUAAUACGGCAUAUACCCUUUGGGCUUGGACAACACUAAUUCUGGUCGGAAUAGGCAGGCCUAGGUUGGUGGGAAGGGUCUUGUCUCAGUGGAAGGGCCAAUGCUAGCAAGCCUGGCCCGAAGCUUGUUUUUCCUUUCUUGUUUUUUUGUCUCGGUCGGAAGCUUCUCUUUUUUAAGAAUGGGUUCCACAAUUGACACUGCCUAUCCGCUAGGUGUGCUGAAUGGUCAGCCGGCCUUAUCAGGAAUCUUGCAUAUUAUACUCUAAUUGUCGCAACUUGAAUAAAGUGACAACCCCAAAGGUCUUAUCCUUUCAAUAUUUUACAUAUUGUUUUCUUCCAGCUUAGCAUUACUUUCUAUUAUCAUGACUGCCUCUAAUUAACCAUAAACUAGCUAUUUUUUAUAUCGGCUUUUCCAGUAGUUGUGCUAAAUGGUCAGCCGGCCUUCAGGAAUCUUGGAUAUUAUACUCUAAUUGUCGCAACUUGAAUAAAGUGACAACCCCAAAGUUCUUAUCCUUUCAAUAUUUUACAUAUCAGAUAGGUGAUUUUGUUAAUAUAUAUAUAUAUAUAUAUAUAUAUUAUUAUUAAGAAUGGGUUCCACAAUUAACACUGCCUAUCCACUAGGUGUGCAUCUUAUACUCUAAUUGUCGCAACUUGAAUAACGUGACAACCCCAAAGGUCUUAUCCUUUCAAUAUUUUACAUAUCAGAUAGGUGAUUUUGUUAAUAUAUAUAUUAUAGACUAUUGAAGGGCAGGUUUAAUCCCUACCACUCAUAUUUUGUUUUUGGCAGCCAAAUUGCAAGUCACAUGACUGAGAGUUCUUGCUCACUAGUUAAUAUUUUUUUCUUUACUGGCCCUUGUGUUUGGUUAAGAAUGGCGAAGUUGUGAUAGGUCCCAAUCAGUACAAGCACAACAAACACAAAGAAAGUAUUCUCUUUGGGUGAGAAUGAACCACAAAUUCAUUAACUUCUCCUCUCCCUUUUCCAUUCUCUUCUUUCCAAAGUUAUACAUCAAAGAAACAACUGAAAUGAAGCUAAUGGUGUCCGAGUCUGUAGGAGACUCAUUCACCCACUACCCAUGACUUGCAGUCGUGCUAAUAACUGCCCUAAAACAAAAGUAAACCAGCAAAUACAAUAAAAGGAAAUGAUGCUGAAGUAGGAAAAAUGGGCUUGGCUUCUGAACAUGGACAUCAGUCCAUAUAGCGUGAGUUGGGCCUCAGGGUCCGACAGGAUCUUCUAGGCUUAUCAUUGCCCACCCCAUGAAGAGGAUGCUUGUCCUCAAGCAUCAGAUGAGGAAACUGGUGGCAAAGAGUAUCCGUGGACUCCCAGGUGACUUCUUCGUGGGGUAGAUGCUUCCAAUGCACCAAGCUUUCUUCCAUGAAGGUGUCACCCCGCUUAAUCCAUCGUGUAUCAAGUAUCUGUUGAGGUUCAAGGGUUAUGACACCAUUAUCUGCAAGUGGAGGUAAGUCAAGUGGAGUGACAGCUGGAGUGCCAUUGUAUGGUUUAAGCAAAGAGACAUGGAACAUGGGGUGAAUUCGAGCUAUAGGUGGCAAUUGCAGGCGGUAUGCUACUGCUCCGAUUUUCUCCAAAAUAGGAUAGGGUCCAUAGUAGCGGCUGGAUAAUUUUUGAUGAGCUCGUUUGAAGACUGUUUGCUGACGAUAUGGACGGAGCUUUAAUAGGACUUGAUCACCAACUGCGAACUGGAUAUCUCUUCUCUUGGAGUCGGCUUAUUGCUUCAUUCGGUUCAUGGAAAUCUCUAAAUUUGUCUUGAGUUGGUGGAGCAGCUCGUCACGAUGCAGGAGCGUUUGAUCCACUUCAUGAACUGGGGAAAGGCCCUCCGGAUAGGCUGGGAUAAGUGGUGGAAGGCGGCCAUAAAGAGCUUGGUAAGGUGUCAUUUUUGUUGAGGCGUGGUAGGUGGUAUUGUACCAAUACUCUGCCCAAGCGAGAUAAGUACUCCAUUUUCGCGGCCAUUGGUGAACGAAGCAGCGCAAAUAUUGUUCAACACAGCGGUUAACAACUUCAGUUUGGCCGUCUGUUUGUGGAUGGUAAGCUGAACUGAGCAUGAUUUUGGAGCCGAAGAGUUUGAAGAAUUCUUGCCAGAAUUUGCUGAUGAAGAUUGGGUCGCGAUCACUGAUGAUGGAGCGUGGCAUUCCAUGGAGUUUGACAUUUCCCUCAAUAAAGUUUUCUGCAACAACUUUGGCCGUAAAUGGGUGAGUUAAGGGAAUAAAGUGGGCAAACUUACUGAGCCUAUCAAUGACCACCAGAAUUGUGUCUUUGCCAUGAGAAGUGGGCAACCUUUCAAUGAAGUCGAGAGUGAUGUCCUCCCAAACCUGUGCAGGAAUUGGUAAGGGCUGUAAUAAUCCCGCCGGUGCCUUGGUCUCUGGUUUAAUGCGUUGACAUACCUCACAUUUCUGGACAUACUCUUGAACAACUUUAUGCAUCUUUGGCCAAUAAAAUUGUUGCUGCAAUCUUCUAUAAGUUCGAAGGAUCCCCGAGUGCCCUCCAACUUUAGAAUCGUGAACUUCAUACAACAAUUUAGCCCUUAAAGAGUGAUCAGCAGGCACCACAACCUUCCCUUUGUAAAGCAGCAAACCAUCACGCCAAGUCAAGUUGCCAUGAGGAGGAUCACCCGCCUUUUUUCCCAAAAGCUGCACAUAGGAAUCUGAUUUAGAGGCCUCGCGGAUCUGCUUCCAAAUAUCCACCUCCGAAAAAUGAAGAGCAGCCAAUAAUGGGCUUUCUUGCCGCCUAGAUAAAGCAUCUGUAGCAGAGUUUUCACGACCCGGUCGAAAGAUGAUUUCAUAAUCGUACCCCAGUAAUUUGGCCACCCAUUUUUGCUGCUCCGGAGUUGCAACACGCUGAUCUAAGAAAAAUUUGAGGCUUCGUUGAUCGGUUUUGAUGUAGAAUUUGCGGCCAAGUAAAUAUGGUCUCCACAUCCGUAUUGCUUCCACGAUGGCUAGCAUUUCCUUUGCAUAGAUUGACCAAGUUUGCUUAGUGAUUCCCAAGGCUCGGCUCAUAUAGGCAAUUGGUCUAUUUUGUUGAGUUAGAACAGCGCCAAUUUCGUUUCCCGAUGCAUCCGUUUCAAUGUGAAAGGUUCGGAAAAGUUUGGCAUGGCUAGUGUGGGGAUGGAUGUCAUGGCUUGUUUCAAAGCUAAGAAAGUCGCUUCCGUUUCGUCAUUCCAUUGAAAAUUCCCUUUUUUGAGGAGGUUAGUUAAUGGUCGAGCUAUUAAUCCAUACCCUUGAACAAACUUGCGGUAGUAGCCGGUGAGGCCUAAGAAUCCAUGGAGCUCGGUAAUGUUGGAGGGUCUUGGCCAAGCAACCAUUGCUUCAAUUUUCUUUUCAUCAACUUUGACUCCACGAUGUGUAAUUAUGUGGCCCAAAUACUCUAGCUCUUGUUUGCCGAAUGCACAUUUGCUCAUCUUGACGUAGAAUUGGUGUUGCCGAAGGACGGCUAAUGUAAGUUGGACAUGCUCCAAGUGCUGCUCCCAUGUCGGACUGUAAAUUAAAAUGUCAUCAAAAAACACCAAGAUGAACUUCCGCAAAUACGGUCGAAAAAUCGAGUUCAUUAUUGCUUGGAAUGUAGAUGGUGCGUUGCAUAGCCCAAAUGGCAUAACCAAGUACUCAUAGUGGCCAUUGUGAGUGCGGAAAGCAGUUUUAGGAAUAUCAGGGGUGCUAACUCGUAUUUGGUGGUAUCCUGCCUUGAGAUCCAGCUUAGUAAAAAAUGCAGCUCCGUGUAACUCAUCAAGCAUAUCAUCUACUGUUGGAAUUGGGAAACGAUCCUUUACGGUGGCAGCGUUUAAUGCUCGGUAGUCUGUGCAGAAUCGCCAUGUGCCAUCUUUUUUCUUCACUAGCAGUACUGGAGAAGAAAAGGGGCUAGUGCUUGGUCGAAUCAACCCUGCAUUGAGCAUGUCUCGAACCUGAUUUUCAAUCUCAGUUUUUUGGAAAUAUGCGUACCUAUAUGGCCUCACAUUAAUAGCUUCGGUUCCGUCUUUGAGUGGUAUUUUGUGAUCAAUUUCGCGUGUUGGUGGUAACUUGGUAGGCGCAGCAAAGACAUCUGAAUAUUCCUCCAGCAAUGCCUGCAUAUCUGAUGAGAGUUCCUCAUUGUUCUGUUGUCCUUCGAGCUGAACAUAUAAAGCAAACACAGCUUGUCGUUGUCGAAAGUCCUUAGUGAAGCCCUGCAAUGUGGUGUCUUGGAUCGGUGGAAUUUCAAUUCCCUGGAGUUUCUUAGGCUGUUGCUCCCAGAUGAAGUCCAUGGUUCGCUUUUUCCAAUCACAAACCACUGAACCCAACGUCUCUAACCACUGAAUGCCUAGCACCAUAUCCAAACCAUUUAAGGGCACAGAAAAGAAGUCGAGGUGGAACUCAUUACCUUGUAAAUUAACCGUGAGCUUCUCAUAUUUCCCUUUACAAGAUAAUCUUUCCCCAUUGGCAACUCGGACAGUAAACGGUGUUGUGGGCUUCACGGGCAAACGAAGCGUUUCGGCUACUCGGUCACUGAUGAAAUUAUGAGUGGAUCCACUAUCGAUUAAGGCAACCACCUCAUGCGCUCCAAUAAUUGCCUUAAUUCGCAUUGUUCUCGGUACAAUCCAUCCAGUUAGUGCAUGUAGAGUGAUCUCGGGCUCCUUUCCGUUGUCAUCUUCCUGAAUCUCGGAUAUUUCCCUUGUCGUGUUUACCCCUCCCAUUUCCUCUGGUGUUUCAUCUUCCUGUAUACAGCCCUCUAGGAGCAUCAACUGUGGUGCUUGACACUUGUGUCCAGGGGUGAACCUUUCAUUGCAGUUGAAACAUAAUCCUUGAGCUCUACGUUUCUGCAUCUCAUCCCAUGACAGCCUUUUGAUUGCCACUUGUGUGGAACCCUUGGGAGGAUUGGGGUUACUUACAGGAACAGAAGCUUGUAAGGCACUCGGCCGUGCGAAUCGCCUCUGUCUCGCAAGCUGAUCGUCCCUCAUUUUCGCCAAGCUAAUUGUCUCUUUCACAGAUUGAGGCUUGAACAUUCUUAUUCCAUCAGCUACCUCUGGUUUCAAGCCUCCCAUGAACGUACCCACAAGAGCCUUUUGGGUCCAUCCACGAACUCGAUUCCCAAGCCGUUCAAAUUCCCGUUGAUAGUCUCGCAAUGUUCCCGUCUGUCUCACUCAGGAUAGCGCUUCGUCGAAGUCUUCAGAAUCAGGGGGUCCAAAACGAGCCCUUACUUCAUCUUCGAAGGCUUCCCACGGGAUACUCCCCUGUCCUUCAGCGAAUGCCUUUCGGAACCACUGCCACCAUUGAUUCGCCUCGCCUUUGAGGUGGAACGAAGCUAGACGCACCUUUUGAUCAGCGGCUAUCUCUUGAAACUCGAAGAACUGGUCCACACGAUUGAGCCAUUCCGUUGGGUCAUCUCCAGAAAAUCUUGGAAAUUCCAACUUUGCAAUCUUGGAAGAAAAUGGCCGGAUGUUUUCGCCGGUAUCUCGGUUGGUUCGGUGGGGUCCUUCUUGCUGAUAAUUAUUAUGGCUAGGUGAUCCUCUGCUUGAGAGGAAUGCUUCAGAUAGUUGUUUUGCAAUAGUUUCUUCUAGUCGUUGGAUCUUGUCGGUGAUUCCCACCUCCAUUCGCUGCAUUCCUUCUUGAACUCCUCCAAGCUUCUCCUCUAGAAGCUCGAUCCGUUCCUUGUUUGUCGUCAUGAACCUGCUCUGAUACCAAUGAUAGGUCCCAAUCAGUACAAGCACAACAAACACAAAGAAAGUAUUCUCUUUGGGUGAGAAUGAACCACAAAUUCAUUAACUUCUCCUCUCCCUUUUCCAUUCUCUUCUUUCCAAAGUUAUACAUCAAAGAAACAACUGAAAUGAAGCUAAUGGUGUCCGAGUCUGUAGGAGACUCAUUCACCCACUACCCAUGACUUGCAGUCGUGCUAUUAACUGCCCUAAAACAAAAGUAAACCAGCAAAUACAAUAAAAGGAAAUGAUGCUGAAGUAGGAAAAAUGGGCUUGGCUUCUGAACAUGGACAUCAGUCCAUAUAGCGUGAGUUGGGCCUCGGGGUCCGACAGGAUCUUCUGGGCUUAUCAAGUUGCAGUGCGUUUCAUAUCAUAAACCGAAAUUCCACAGUUUGGUUUGCAUCUGCUUAAGUAUUUGUUUGCCAUAUGUUCAAUAAUGUGGACAUACCUGUAGGGUAGGGUAGGGUAGGUGGAAAAUAUUCUUCUUUGUUUAUGUGGACAUUUGGACCAUUAGUAGAGUAACUGACAGGCCAUGUUCAUCUGCCUCUUUAUUGUAUCCAAGGGCCUCCCUAUUUGGUGACAAGGUUCUUCGUUGUUGACCAAAACUACUCUGCUUGAUUUGCAUCUGCUUUCAUUCAUUUUUCUUUGAUCCUGUAUUCACUUCCCUUGCAAACCAACAGACAUGGUCGGGGCUAUAGUAGGAGGAGCAUUUCUCUCCGCUUCUAUCCAAGUUCUACUUGACAGGUUGGCUUCUCGCAAUGUCCUCACCUUCCUCCGGGGACAGAAACUCAGUGCUACGCUCCUAAGGAAGUUGAAGAUAAAAUUGGUGGCAGUUCAGGCAGUGCUCGAUGACGCUGAGGCCAAGCAAUUCACAAAAUCAGCUGUAAAAGAUUGGAUGGAUGACCUGAAAGAUGCUGUGUAUGAUGCAGAGGACCUGUUGGAUGAGAUAACCACUGAAGCUCUACGCUGCAAAAUGGAGUCUGAUGCUCAAACCAGCGCAACUCAGGUACGUGACAUCACCUCUGCCUCGCUUAAUCCGUUUGGUGAGGGAAUCGAGUCCAGGGUAGAGGAGAUCACUGACAAACUAGAAUUUCUUGCACAAGAAAAAGAUGUUCUGGGAUUGAAAGAAGGCGUUGGAGAAAAAUUGUCACAAAGAUGGCCCGCGACUUCCUUGGUAGAUGAGUCUGGGGAGGUGUACGGAAGGGAAGGUAAUAUACAGGAGAUAGUUGAAUAUUUAUUGUCCCAUAAUGCAAGUGGGAAUAAGAUAAGUGUGAUCGCCCUGGUGGGUAUGGGCGGUAUUGGAAAGACCACACUUACUCAACUGGUCUAUAAUGAUAGGAGGGUGGUGGAAUGUUUUGACCUUAAAGCUUGGGUUUGUGUUUCCGAUGAAUUUGAUCUUGUCAGGAUAACGAAAACCAUUCUUAAGGCAAUCGAUUCUGGGGCUUCUGAAAAAUAUUCUGAUGAUAGUGAUUUGAAUCUGCUUCAACUUAAAGUGAAGGAGAGACUUAGUAAGAAGAAAUUCUUACUUGUCCUUGAUGAUGUUUGGAAUGAAAACUAUACUAAUUGGCAUAUGCUACAAACUCCAUUGACGGUUGGUCUAAAUGGAAGUAAGAUUAUUGUGACUACACGUAGUGAUAAGGUUGCAUCGAUCAUGCGUUCAGUUCGUAUUCAUCAUUUGGGACAGUUAUCCUUUGAGGACUGCUGGUCGCUAUUUGCAAAACAUGCAUUUGAAAAUGGAGAUUCUAGUCUACAUUCAGAACUAGAAGAAAUUGGCAAAGGGAUUGUAAAGAAGUGUAAAGGAUUGCCUUUGGCUGCAAAGACCCUAGGGGGUUCCUUAUACUCAGAGUUACGAGUAAAAGAAUGGGAAAAUGUGUUGAAUAGCGAAAUGUGGGAUUUACCGAAUGAUGAAAUUCUCCCCUCCUUAAGGUUAAGCUAUUCUUUUCUUCCUUCACAUUUAAAGCGGUGUUUUGGAUAUUGCUCAAUUUUUCCUAAGGACUACGAAUUUGAAAAGGAAAAUUUGAUUCUAUUAUGGAUAGCAGAAGGUUUUUUGCAACAAUCUGAAGGCAAGAAAACAAUGGAAGAGGUAGGUGAUGGGUACUUUUAUGACCUAUUAUCAAGGUCAUUUUUUCAGAAGUCUAGUACCCAGAAAUCAUAUUUUGUAAUGCAUGAUCUCAUCAAUGACUUGGCUCAGCUUGUUUCCGGAAAAUUUUGUGUUCAAUUGAAGGAUGGUAAGAUGAAUGAAAUUCUUGAAAAGCUUCGACACUUAUCAUAUUUUAGAAGUGAAUAUGACCACUUUGAGAGAUUUGAGACCCUUAAUGAAGUUAAUUGUCUGCGGACCUUCUUGCCAUUGAAUUUGAGGACUUGGCCUCGGUUUGACAAGGUUUCAAAGAAUAGAAAUCUAAAUGCUACUAAGUAUAUUGUAGAUUUUCAGUUGAGUAAUAGAGUUUGGACUGGUUUAUUAUUGAAAGUUCAAUAUUUACGAGUAUUAUCAUUGUGCUACUAUAAGAUAACGGAUUUGUCUGAUUCAAUUGGUAAUUUGAAACAUUUGCGCUAUUUGGACCUUACCUACACACUUAUCAAAAGGUUACCGGAGUCGGUUUGUAGUUUGUAUAACUUACAAACAUUGAUAUUAUACCGUUGUAAAUUUCUGGUUGAAUUGCCUAAAAUGAUGUGCAAAAUGAUUAGCUUACGUCAUCUUGAUAUCAGGCAUAGCAAAGUGAAAGAGAUGCCAAGUCACAUGGGUCAAUUAAAAAGUUUACAAAAAUUGAGUAACUAUAUAGUGGGCAAGCAAAGUGGGACAAGGGUUGGAGAGUUGCGGAAGCUUUCCCACAUUGGUGGGAGUCUUGUCAUUCAAGAGCUGCAGAAUGUGGUUGAUGCUAAGGAUGCCUCAGAAGCCAAUUUGGUAGGCAAGCAAAAUCUGGAUGAGUUAGAGUUGGAAUGGCAUUGUGGCAGUAAUGUUGAACAAAAUGGAGAAGACAUAGUGCUCAACAACUUACAACCUCAUUCAAACUUAAAGAGACUCACUAUUCAUGGUUAUGGUGGUUCAAGAUUUCCAGAUUGGUUAGGUCCUUCAAUUCUGAAUAUGUUGUCGCUACGUCUCUGGAAUUGUAAGAAUGUGUCAACCUUUCCACCGCUUGGGCAGCUACCCUCUCUUAAACAUUUAUAUAUAUUGGGGUUGAGGGAGAUAGAAAGGGUGGGAGUUGAGUUUUAUGGCACUGAGCCCUCCUUUGUAUCCCUAAAAGCUCUAUCAUUUCAGGGUAUGCCAAAAUGGAAGAAAUGGUUGUGCAUGGGAGGCCAAGGUGGAGAAUUCCCCCGUCUCAAGAAGCUUUAUAUAGAGGAUUGUCCCCGGCUAAUUGGGGACUUCCCAACCCAUCUGCCUUUCUUGAUGACAGUACGGAUUGAAGAAUGUGAGCAGCUUGUGGCUCCACUUCCAAGGGUUCCAGCCAUCCGUCAAUUGACGACGCGCAGCUGUGACAUCUCACAGUGGAAGGAACUACCACCACUACUGCAGUAUCUCUCAAUUCAAAAUUCCGACUCUUUGGAGUCCCUACUAGAGGAGGGAAUGUUGCAAAGUAAUACUUGUCUUCGAAAGUUGAGAAUCAGAAAAUGUUCUUUUUCGAGACCGUUGUGCAGAGUUUGUUUGCCUUUUACAUUGAAAUCAUUAUCUAUAGAGGAGUGUAAGAAACUAGAGUUUCUCCUACCUAAGUUCUUAAAAUGUCACCACCCUUCCCUUGCCUAUUUUGGGAUCUUCAGUAGUACUUGCAAUUCUCUCUCAUCCUUCCCGCUCGGCAACUUCCCAAGUUUAACUUACCUCAGUAUCUGCGAUCUCAAGGGGCUUGAAUCCCUCUCCAUUUCAAUUUCAGAGGGCGAUGUUACAUCUUUUCAUGCGUUGAACAUCAGAAGGUGCCCUAACCUUGUGUCUAUUGAAUUGCCAGCUCUCGAGUUCUCACGAUAUUCCAUCCUCAAUUGCAAGAAUCUCAAGUGGCUGCUGCACAACGCUACAUGCUUUCAGUCAUUAACAAUAGAAGGUUGUCCUGAAUUGAUAUUCCCAAUACAAGGUCUGCAAGGGCUGUCCUCUCUUACCUCUCUCAAAAUCUCAGAUCUUCCAAAUCUCAUGUCCCUUGACAGUUUGGAGCUUCAACUGCUCACCUCUCUUGAAAAAUUAGAGAUCUGUGACUGCCCCAAGCUCCAAUUCUUGACAGAAGAGCAGCUGGCCACCAACCUUUCUGUUCUAACAAUCCAGAACUGCCCAUUGCUGAAAGAUCGGUGCAAGUUUUGGACAGGGGAAGAUUGGCAUCAUAUAGCUCACAUUCCACACAUUGUGAUCGAUGACCAAGUUUUGUAAUGAAAGUGGCAUUACACCAAUUUAUA